UGUGUGUUGCUACUACUACCUACUUCAACCAAGGAACACAUCUCAUCUCCCAAGGAAAAAGAAAAGAAACAACCGUGAGGAAGCAAUCGGGGUAUUCAAAAUCCCUGCCUACGGACGUAAUCAGGUGCACUCGUCUCCAUUAAAUUGCUCUGUGUAUUAAAUUAGUAUUAUACAAAACAUAUGUUGUCUGCUCGUGCUAUUUUAUGCUCGCAGAUCUAUUCAACUCAAGAGUUGAUCCCUGGAUCUCCCUCAAGGACGGAUGGUAGGGACGUUAGCCACUAAGCUACAACUGGUGUUGGCACUGUCCAAUGCACACGACUGGAGCCAAUCGGCAAAGAAAAAGGAAAAAAGAAAAAGAAAAGGUGGAGCUAGUGUUACACCAGAAGCAUCAAUGCAAAUAUUCCAGUAUGGACAAGCUGGCCAGAAAGGGCUUAAAUCGCCAUUGAAAAUUACUUGAGAUUAUCUAUGGACGUUAUACAUAAAUCAUUUAUCGUCCGGACAACUCAGGUGAUAUUUGUCCAAGUUUAUUAUAUUAACACAUAUUGUUUUUUAUCAAAGAACAAGUACUCUGGCUUGUGAUAUUUUUUUAUGCAGGAUAAUUGUUCACUGCAAGAGUGAUGGUCGUGGAUAUAUAUCUCGCGCCACCAUUAUCAUGUGCUAGCAUUUGACUGUGCCAUAAUGCUUGAUGAAUAUAUGGGCAAACCGCCGCCUCUGCGGCCCAAUUUAUAUUAACAAGGUGCGGCUGAAUCGCCUGUCCGCGCGGCUUACCCCGCCUGCAAUUGACUCACCCGUCCGCAGGCUUACAAUGCCUCGGCCGACUCGCUCGUGAUUGGUUUUAACUUCACCAUAGUGAUCAUCAACUCCGCAGCGGAUAAUUUCUGGCUUAACAUAUCAGGUGAAAUCCAUCCAGUAUAUUUUUAUAUUAUAUAUUGCUUUCUUUAAAAGAGCAAUUACUCUGGCUUGCAAGUUCUCCAAUGCAGGACAAGUUAUAUCACUGAGCUGUUGAAUGACUCAUACCGGUUUAUAUCACGGUCAAAUAUGGGGAAUCUCAAGCCAACUCCUUGAGUCGUCUUAAGACUCGGGGGCUACAAUGACAUGACUCGGCAAAAUUGGCCGGUUUCAGUGAAUUCAAGAACUCCGGGUCAUUGGAGGGAAGAUAACCCGGUCCCGGAGGCUAUUGCUAUAUUGAUGAAAAUUUAAAGGCCGUCAGACAAUUUCCGGCUCAAAAUGAAGAAUUCUGGUUUAAAAUCCGGUUCAAGGGAAAUAUGUCUUCCACAAAGCUUUGAAGCUCUCAAUAUCCGGUUUAAAAUUCCGGGUCAAAAAGAAUUCAUCUCUCACAAGUUCGAAGCUCUCAAAAAAAUUAAGGGUUGCCAAAGAGAACUUGCUGCCACAAUGCGCUGUUCAAACAUGGGUAUCCUGCCUAUGGGCUUAUCUUAUUAUGGUCACUUGGGGGCUUCCUGGUCGUAUUUGAAUCAUAGCUGUGAAUAUCCCUCUUGAUCGGCACAAUGCCACACUUAUGGUCAGUUGGGGGCUUCCUGAUCGUAUUCGAAUCAUAGCUGUGAAUAUCCCUCUUGAUCGGUGCAAUGCCACAUUUAUGGUUACUUGGGGGCUUCCUGAUCAUAUUCGAAUCAUAGCUGUGAAUAUCCUUCUUGAUCGGUGCAAUGCCANNNNNNNNNNNNNNNNNNNNNNNNNNNNNNNNNNNNNNNNNNNNNNNNNNNNNNNNNNNNNNNNNNNNNNNNNNNNNNNNNNNNNNNNNNNNNNNNNNNNNNNNNNNNNNNNNNNNNNNNNNNNNNNNNNNNNNNNNNNNNNNNNNNNNNNNNNNNNNNNNNNNNNNNNNNNNNNNNNNNNNNNNNNNNNNGGGGCUUCCUGAUCGUAUUCGAAUCAUAGCUGUGAAUAUCCCUCUUGAUCGGCGCAAUGCCACACUUAUGGUCACUUGGGGGCUUCCUGAUCGUAUUCGAAUCAUAGCUGUGAAUAUCCCUCUUGAUCGGUGCAAUGCCACACUUAUGGUCACUUGGGGGCUUCCUGAUCGUAUUCCAAUCAUAGCUGUGAAUAUCCCUCUUGAUCGGCUCAAUGCCACAAACCACUUGGGGGCUUCCUGCUCAUAUUUGAAGCAUGGCUGUGAAUAUCCCUCUUGGUUCGACUCAUACGCCAUGGUUACAAAGCACGUGGGGCCUUCCUGUUCAAACAUAGGUGUAUUCACCAAAGAGAACAUAGCGUUACUACCCGCGUGAGCUGGCUUGGAACACCAAUCAAAAUGUUGAUAUUUCAUGAUUCCGGGUUGAUACUGGCCCUAGAUUAUAAUUGUCAAGGCAUCACCAUGGUAUUAAUCUACAGCCGGCAGUAUGAGCCAAUUCUACAGGUAUGUUUUCCUGCUAUAUAAAUAUGCGAGGUUUGAUAACCCGCCCUGGCUUUUGACUUUAAGUCGCCACUAUGUUUAGGCUUGAAUGGCCUUAAUUCUAGUCUUUUCCAUAAGUGCAUAAGACUAUGUUCAGGUUGUUACCCGCCCUGGCUUUUGACAUUAAGUCACCAGGGCAUAUGUUGCUUAAACUCUGUGCAGGAUUUGAAGAACUAUAACUUAUGUAAAUGAUUAAAGUUCAAGCUCAUCAUCCAAAUUGAUGUUUCAAAAGGGUUAUCCAUUCUGGAUUUUCUCGAAGGCUAUAAGCCGCCGGGUUAUAAAAAUUCCGACUUACAAUGAAUGCGCAUUAAGUCGCCAUUGGCCAAGAGCCGCCGAGUAUUUAAACUUCGGAUUUACUUAUCAACCGAUAAGGUAUUCAAAUCUUUAAUAGCCCAACUUGGCUGGAUUUUCAUGAUGAUAUUGAAUGAUUGAGGUUUUCAUACCAGAUUAUAUUAUUCAAAUCUUGAAUAGCCAAACAUGGCUGGAUUUUUAUUAUGGUUAUCAAUAACCAGUAUUAUGAUUAAGGUUUCCAAAGUCGCUUCAGCACAAUGGCUAUUAUUCAUCAAUGGAUAUGAUUUAUUCUACAAUGGAAGGAAUAGUCCCGAGUCGCUGCAGGCUUAUGACCCGGCACUUGGGGGCUACAUUAUUCAAAUCAUGAUUAUAUCAAAUAUGGAAGUCCCAUGUCGCUGCAAGCAUGCACCAUGACACUUGGGGGCUAAUGCAAGGUCAUUUUUAACUUGCCUUAUUGAAGACCCGACCCGUCACAUUGUGAUGAGCCGGCCCUUGGGGGCUACUAAUUGCUCCUGUCAAAGGUAACCCGAAACUUGGGAGCUGCAUCAUUUGGUGUUAUUAAUUACUGCUCAAAUCUACAUGAUCAUAUCUACAAAGUCCCUGCUCAUUAUUGCAUAAUGACCUGGCCCUUGGCGGCUACACUGGUUGAAGUUUUUAUGAGCAUAAGGCAAUUACAAGUCCCAGGUUGCUGCAAGCAUGACAACCCGGCACUUGGGGACUACAUAUGUGGAAUAUUCAGUUUAUGACUAGUGACUGAGAUGAACAACCCGGAUUUCUUCAAGGUUGCGACAUUUAUAUUGAAGCAAGUCUUAAGCUGUUACUAUGUUCCCUUCUUAAGACUUGGGGGCUACAAGAGAUAUGCAAAUAAGAGAGGUACAUUUUCAAGCUUGAUGUUAACAACAAUUAUGACCUGAUGCCAUCAAUAUUUACAACCCGACAAUUUUGGUAAUCAUAAAUUGGCAAGUUCUACAUCUUCAAGCCGGCUGAAAAUCAGAUGAGUAUUUCAAGACCAAUAUUUUUGUUAAGCAUUGGGAGCUGAAUCAAACGAAUUAUUCUUCACAAUAUUUUUCUAUAAGAAGAUAAUGACAACAAAUUGAUUAUGAAGCUGGUCUAUUGAUCCGGACUGUCCAGAAGAAGGAAAUGACAAGAACUUAAGGAUAAUCAGGUACCGGCUUACAAGAAUUUUUAACCCGAAGCACAACCUGUCUUUGUUCUUGUGUUUAUUUUGCAGGAUCAGUUUAACAAGGAUAAAUCCAAAUUAAACUGGGGGCUAAUGUCGGGGAUAUACCCCGCGGUCUAACCCGGCUGGAAGUAUAACUCGGCCGGACUUGGAAACUCACUAAUGACCCGCCCUCACUAGACAACCCACUAAGUGACCCGCCCGAGCCUAGCGACUCAUGGGUGACCCGACAAGCUGGUCAGAGGAGCGACAAGACCCAGUGACCCAGAAGGCAGUUCAUGGAAGGCCGGCUCACGUUAUGUUAUGCCGGCUUAAGAGAAAAGCAUAAGGAAUAUUCCCUUAAAAAGGAAGCAAGACUAGGACUCCACUUGUAAUAGAUAGUCCUAAUCCUACUUGGACUCUACAUGUAACCCGGCCCUCCAACUUAUAUAAGGAGGGGCAGGGCACCCCAAGAAGGAGAGGUUCCACAAGUUGGAAAAGUUAGGGUUAGACAGACAAAUCUAUAGCUCUCGAGAUAGAGAACCCUUGUAAUCAUGUUCAUCAUCAUCAAUAUCAAUGAAGCAGGAUGUAGGCUUUUACCUCCACUGUGAGGGGUCGAACCUGGGUAAAACCUCACGUCUCUCGUCCUGCUCAACCCCUCUCAAGCUACUACAUAGAUGCGUUGGCCUCACGACUAAGUCCUUUCAACGAGGACAUCUGCCGUGAAAAAUCCAUGACAACUACGAAAGAAGAAUUAGGAUAAAUCUAACCAUAGGAUGGAACAUAUAGAUCCAAGUCAGCCCCUUAUGAAGCAACGCAUAAACUAGGGUUUAAGCUUCUGUCACUCUAGCAACCCAUCAUGUACUUAUUACUUCCCAAUGCCUUCCCCUAGGCCCAAAUCAUGGUGAAAUGUCAUGUAGUCGACGUUCACAUAACACCACUAGAGGAAAGACAACAUACAUCUCAUCAAAAUAUCGAACGAAUACCAAAUUCACAUGAUUACUUAUAACAAGACUUCUCCCAUGUCCUCAGGAACAAACGUAACUACUCACAAAGCAUAUUCAUGUUCAUAAUCAGAGGAGUAUUAAUUAUCAUUAAGGAUCUGAACAUAUGAUCUUCCACCGAAUAAACCAACUAGCAUCAACUACAAGGAGUAAUCAACACUACUAGCAACCCAUAGGUACCAAUCUGAGGUUUUGAGACAAAGAUCGGAUACAAGAGAUGAACUAGGGUUUGAGAGGAGAUGGUGUUGGUGAAGAUGUUUAUGGAGAUUGACCCCCUCUCGAUGAGAGGAUCAUUGGUGAUGACGAUGGCGAUGAUUUCCCCCUCCCGGACGAAAGUUCCCCCGGCAGAACAGCUCCGCUAGAGCGCUAGAUUGGUUAUGCCCAAGUUCUGCCUCGAGAUGGCGGUGCUUCUCCCAAAAGCUUCCUUCUGAUUUUUUCCAAGUCAAAACACAUCAUAUAGCAUAAGAUGGGCAUCGGGGGCCUGCCAGGUGGCCCACAAGGCUGGGGGCGCCCAGGGGAUAGGGCGCGCCCCCAACCCUCGUGGAUGGCAGGUGGCCCCCUCUGGUGCUUUCUUCGCCCAAUAAUUUUUAUAUAUUCCAAAAUAAUUCUCCGUGAAGUUUCAGGACUUUUGGAGUUGUGCAGAAUAGGUCUCUCUUCAUGUAAACCUUAUAAAAUAAGAGAGAAAAAGGCAUACGUAUUGCGAUAUAAUGUGUAAUAGCAGCCCAUAAUGCAAUAAGUAUCAACAUAAAAGCGAAAAGGUCUCCAACACAUAGUGCUUUCCAAAAGAAAAAGUGUAAAAAGGAAAGGUGAUGAUCACCAUGAUUCUUGUAUAAAUGUAGAAGAUAAAAGUAAAAGAUAGGCCCUUCGCAGAGGGAAGCAGAGAUUGUUAUGCACUUUUAUGGUUGGGUGCACAAAAUCUCAAUGCAAAAGAACGUCACUUUAUAUUGCCGCUUGUGAUAAAGACCUUUAUUAUGCAGUCUGUCACUUUUAUUUCUUCCAUAUCACAAGUUCGUAUAAAGCUUAUUUUCUUCACACUAAUAGAUCAUACAUAUUUAGAGAGCAAUUUUUAUUGCUUGCACCGAUGACAACUUACUUGAAGGAUCUUACUCAAUCCAUAGGUAGGUAUGGUGGACUCUCAUGGCAAAACUGGGUUUAGGGAUGUUUGGAAGCACAAGUAGUAUCUCUACUUGGUGCAAAGAAUUUGGCAAGCAUAAGAGAGAAAAGCAAGCUCAACAUGUUGGAGGAUCCAUGACAAUAUAACUUCUAUUCUGAUAUAAGCAAACAUAACUCAUUAUGUUGUCUUCCUUGUCCAACAUCAAGUUUUUCGCAUGUCAUGUUUUAAUGAGUGCUCACAAUUACAAAAGAUGUCUAGGAUAGUAUAUUUAUAUGUGGAGCCUCUCUUUCUUUAUUACUUCCUAUUAAUUGCAACAAUGACCAAAACUAUGUUUGUCAGCUCUCAAUAACUUUUAUUCAUCAUACUCUUUAUAUGUGAAGUCGAUCAUACUUUUAUUCAUCUUUUUAUUCUUUCUUGUAUUCCCUCAAGAUCAUAGAAAGAAAGCAAAGCCCUCAACUCAAAACUACUCUUUAUUAUAUAUAACUCAUGGACUUGAUUACAUAGAUAGAACAUAAAGCAAAACUCAAAGCUAGAUCAUGCUAAAAUUUUAUUCUACUAGAUCAAGAUAUAACCAAAAGGAUCGAACUAAGAAAAACGAUAAAAGGUAAAGGUGUGAUGGUGAUACGAUACCGGGGCACCUCCCCCAAGCUUGGCAGUUGCCAAGGGGAGUGCCCAUACCCAUGUAUUUAUGUCUCUUUCUUCGGGGGUGGUGAUGAUGGAGUUGUUCAUGAUGUAGUGCCACACUUCGAGCGCAAGAGACACUCCAAUCUACGAAUGAUGCUCUGGAGGGUGAUGAUAUGCUCUUGCAACAGAAUAUUUUCACGAGUGGGAUAUUUAUUUUGCACACGAACUAUUUCAAUGAUCUUAAAAGCUUCAAUUUUAGUAGGGGUAAGGUGAUUAUAGUAUGGUUGAAGGAUGUCUUCUUCUUCAGCUGCCGGAACUUGAUCUCCCGCGACCUUCUUGAUCUUAUCACCCUCGUUGGUUUCCCCAAGUUCUUCUUUCUUCAUCUCUAUCUUCAUUAGCCAAGCAUUGUAGCCCGCAUUGUUGGAGGAGGACGACGACAUGAUGCCUGGUCUUGAAAACUCUGGCAGAAAAGAACUCAAAACAAAAACAGUGUAUUUUGCCAUGGUACUGUGGUCAAAACCUUCAGGAGAUUAUAUAAUAAAAUUUUACUGACCAAAAGAAGUAUUGUGCAAGAAAACGGAGUCCGAAGGGCACACGAGGUGGCCACAAGGCAGGGGGCGCGCCCUCCACCCUUGUGGUCUCCUCGUGCAACUUUCGUACUAAUUUAAAUUUUCCUAUUUUUUUAAUAUUCCAAAACGGAGAAAAAAUAGCAUUGGAAACGUUUUGGAGUCAGUUUACUUACCGUACCACAUACCUAUUCCUUUUCAGAGUCUAAAACGUUCUGGAAAGUGUCCCUUAUGUACUCCUCCAGUGUUACGGUGUCAAUUAUAUUGGCAUCAACAUUUCUGGGAUUACCUGAGAUAUAAUGUUUGAUUCUUUGACCGUUUACCACCUCCGGAUUUGUACCUUCGGCAUUGUUGAUUUUUAUGGCACCAAAAUGAUAGACCUCCUCGAUAAUGUAAGGACCUUCCCAUUUAGAGAGAAGUUUUCCUGCAAAAAAUCUUAAACGAGAGUUGUAUAGCAAAACAUGAUCACCUUAUUAAACUCACGCUUUUGUAUCCUCUUGUCAUGCCAUCUUUUAACUUUUUCUUUAAAUAACUUGGCAUUCUCAUAGGCUUGGGUUCUCCAUUCAUCAAGCGAGCUUAUGUCAAAUAACCUCUUCUCACUGGCAAGUUUGAAAUCAUAAUUGAGCUCCUUAAUAGCCCAAUAUGCCUUAUGUUCUAGUUCAAGAGGUAAGUGACAUGCUUUUCCAUAAACCAUUUUAUACGGAGACGUACCCAUAGGAUUCUUAUAAGCAGUUCUAUAAGCCCAUAAUGCAUCAUCAAGUUUCUUAGACAUAUUCUUUCUAGAUCUAUUAACAGUCUUUCACAAAAUCAAUUUAAUCUCGCUAUUACUCAAUUCCACUUGACCACUAGAUUGAGGAUGAUAAGGAGAUGCAAUUCUAUGGUUAACAUCAUACUUAGAAAGCAUUUUACGGAAAGCACCAUGCAUAAAAUGUGAACCACCAUCAGUCAUUAAAUAUCUAGGGACUCCAAACCUCAGAAAAAUAACUUCUUUCAGCAUCUUAAUAGAAGUGUUAUGAUCAGCACUACUAGUUGGAAUAGCUUCUACCCACUUAGUAACGUAAUCAACAGCAACUAAAAUAUGUGUAUACCCAUUAGAGGAAGGAAAAGGUCCCAUAUAAUCAAAUCCCCAAACAUCAAAUGGUUCGAUAACAAGUGAAUAAUUCAGAGGCAUUUCUCUGGCAUUCAUCACAAGACAAUACAAACUUAUGACCAUCCUUGAAGAGAGUAGGCCAAUAAAAACCGGAUUGCAAUACCUUAUGUGCAGUUCUAUCUCCAGCGUGGUGUCCUCCGUAAGACUCGGAGUGGCACUUGUGUAGGAUCUGUUCAUGUUCAUGCUCAGGUACACAACGUCUAAUAACACCAUCUACUCCUUCUUUAUAAAGGUGUGGGCCAUCCCAAAAUUAAUGUCUUAAAUCAUAGAAAAACUUUUUGUUUUGCUGGUAUGUGAAACUAGGUGGUAUAAAUUUAGCAACAAUGUAAUUAGCAUAAUCAGCAUACCAUGGAGUAUUAUGAGAAGCAUUUAUGACAGUUAAUUGUUCAUCAGGAAAGCUAUCAUCAAUAGGCAAUGGGUCAUCAAGAACAUUCUCUAACCUAGACAAGUUGUCUACAACGGGGUUCUCAGCUCCCUUUAUAUCAAUAAUAUGCAACUCAAAUUCUUGUAACAAGAGGAACCCAUCUAAUAAGUCUAGGUUUAGCAUAUUUCUUUUCCAUAAGAUAUUUAAUAGCAGCAUGAUGAGUGUGAACAAUUACUUUGGAAUUAACAAUAUAAGAUCUGAACUUAUCACAAGCAAAAACAACUGCUAAAACUUCUUUUUCAGUAGUAGCAUAAUUUCUCUGGGCACUGUCUAGAGUUUUACUAGCGUAAUGAAUAACAUUCAAUUUCUUAUCAACUCUUUGUCCUAGAACAGCACCAACAACAUAAUCAAUAGCAUCACACAUAAUUUCAAAGGGUAAAUUCCAAUCAGGUGGCUAGACAAUAGGAGCAGAAAUCAAGGAUUUCUUAAAUAUUUCAGAUGCUUCUACACAAUCAUCAUAAAAAACAAAAGGAACAUCUUUUUGCAAGAGAUUGGUGAGAGGCCUAGAAAUUUUAGAGAAGUCUUUAAUAAACCUCCUAUAGAAACCAGCAUGACCAAGGAAACUUCUUAUACCUUUGAUAUCUUUAUGACACGACAUCUUUUCAAUAACAUCUACUUUAGCUUUGUCAACUUCAAUACCUCUUUCAGAAAUUUUAUGCCCCAAGACAAUACCUUCAUUAACCAUAAAGUGGCACUUCUCCCAAUUCAAGACAAGAUUAGUUUCUUCACAUCUCUGCAAAACUCGAUCAAGGUUGCUUAAGCAAUCAUCAAAAGAAGUUCCGUAAACAGAGAAAUCAUCCAUGAAAACCUCAACAAUCCUUUCACAAAAAUUAGAGAAUAUAUUAGUCAUACAUCUUUGAAAGGUAGCAGGUGCAUUGCAUAAACCAAAAGGCAUACGUCUAUAAGCAAAGGUACCGAAAGGACAAGUAAAAGUGGUCUUUUCCUGAUCAUCUUUUGACAUAGGUAUUUGAGAAAAAAAUAGAAUAACCAUCUACAAAGCAAAAAUGUGUAUGUUUGGAUAGUCUUUCUAGCAUUUGAUCAAUAAAAGGUAGAGGGUAAUGAUCUUUUCUAGUAGCUUUGUUUAAUUUGCGAAAAUCAAUUACCAUUCUAUAACCUGUAACAAUUCUUUGUGGAAUCAAUUCAUUCUUAUCAUUAGGAACAGCAGUAAUACCUCCCUUCUUGGGGACACAAUGAACGGGACUUACCCAUCUACUAUCAGCAAUAGGAUAAAUUGUACCUGCCACCAGAAGCUUUAGUAUUUCAUUUCUUACCACUUCUUUCAUCUUAGGAUUUAACCGUCGCUGAUGAUCAACAACUGGUUUAGCAUCAUGCUCCAAAUUAAUUUUGUGCUAGCAUAGAGUGGGACUAAUGCCCUUAAGAUCAUCAGGAGUAUAUCCAAUAGCGGCACGGUUCUUCUUCAGAGUUUUCAAUAAUUUCUUUCUUCAUGCUCUAAAAGGUUAGCACUAAUAAUAACAAGAUAUAUCUUCUUUUCAUCAAGAUAAGCAUAUUUCAAAGUAUCAGGUAAUUGUUUAAGCUCAAACACGGGAUCACCCUUGGGUGGAGGAGGAUCCCCAAGGAUUUCAAUAGGCAAAUUGUGUUUCAACACAGGCCCUUGAUUAAAGAAUAUUUCAUCUAUUUCCCUUCUUUCAUUCAUAAACAUAUCAUUUUCAUGGUCUAGCAAAUGUUGUUCUAAGAGAUCAGUAGGAGGCACGACAAUAGAAGCAAGACCAAUAAUUUCAUCCUUACUAGGAAAUUCUUUAUCAUCGGGUUGUCUACAAAAUUUAGAGAAAUUUAAAUCAUGAGACAUAUCCCCUAAACUGACAUUAACAAUAUCUUUCUCGCAGUCUAUCUUAGCAUUAACGGUAUUCAAGAAAGGUCUACCAAAUAUAAUGGGACAAAAAUCAUCUUGUGGGGAAGCAAGAACAAGAAAAUCAGUAGGGUAUUUAAUUUUCCCACAUAAGGCUUCAACAUCUCUAACAAUCCCAAUUGGUGAUAUAGUAUCUCUAUUGGCAAGCUUAAUAGUAACAUCAAUAUCUUCUAUCUCAGCAGGUGCAAUAUCAUUCAUAAUUUCUUGGUAUAAGGUAUAAUUAAGGAAUUGCACUCACACUAGCACCCACAUCACAUAAGCCAUGAUAACAAUGACCUCCUAUUUUAACGGAAACAACAGGCAUGCCAACAACAGGUCUAUGUUUAUCUUUAAUAUCGGGUUUAGCAAUCCUACCAGCUUCAUCAGAGAAAUAAAUAACACGCCCAUCAAUAUUAUCAACCAAGAGAUCUUUAACCAUAGCAAUACUAGGUUCAACUUUAAUUUGUUCAGGGGGUGUAGGUGUUCUAGUAUAACUCUUACGAACCAUAGUUGAAGCUUUAGCAUGAUCCUUUAUUCUAACAGGAGAAGGUGGCUUCUCAAUAUAAGUAGUAGGAACAAUAGGAUCAACAUUAUAAGUAAUAGUUUCUUCUUCAACUUUAAUAGGUUCUAUUACUUUCACUUCAAUGGGAGGAUGAAAUUUAAACCACUGCUCCCUAGGGAGAUCAACAUGAGUAGCAAAAGAUUCACAAAAGGAAGCUACUAUCUCAGAAUCAAGUCCAUAUUUAGUGCUAAAUUAACGAAAAGCAUCGGUAUCCAUAAAAGCUUUAACACAAUCAAACUUAAGGUUUAUACCUGACUCCUUACCUUCGUCGAGUUCCCAAUCUUCAUAGUUGCGUUUAAUUCUUUCCAAUAAAUCCCAUUUAAAUUAAAUAUCCUUCUUCAUAAAAGAACUAGUACAAGAAGUAUCGAGCAUGGAUCGGUCAUUAUGAGAAAACCGAGCAUAAAAAUUUUGAAUAAUAAUUUCUCUUGAUAGCUCAUGAUUGGGGCAUGAAUAUAACAUUGACUUAAGCCUCCCCCAAGAUUGAGUGAUACUUUCUCCUUCACGAGGCCAAAAAUUAUAUAUAUAAUUCUGAUCACGAUGAAGCAGAUGCAUAGGAUAAAACUUUUGAUGAAGUUCCAAUUUCAAUCGGUUGUAGUUCCAUGGUCCAAUAUCAUCGCAUAGCCUAAACCAUGUCAAUGCCUUUCCCUUCAAAGAUAAAGGGAAGACCUUCUUCUUGACAACAUCCUCGGGCAAACCUGCAAGCUUCAAUAAUCCACAAACUUCAUCCACAUAGAUUAGGUGCAUAUCAGGAUGUAAUGUUCCAUCUCCUGCAUAAGGAUUAGCCAGCAGUUUCUCUAUCAUACCCGCAGGAAUUUAAUAAUAAAUAUUUUCAGUAGGUGCAGUAGGUUGAGGAGCAACUCUUUGCUCUACCGGUCAAGGUGAAGAUACCCCGAACAAGCCCCUCAAAGUAUUAUUUUCCAUAGUAACAAGUGACAGUAAAGUUCAGCACACUAUAUAAAUGUUUCCUUACCAAAGGUGCUUCACUCCCCGGCAACGACGCCAGAAAAGAGUCUUGAUGACCCACAAGUAUAGGGAAUCUAUCAUAGUCCUUUCGAUAAGUAAGAGUGUCGAACCCAAUGAGGAGCAGAAGGAAAUGACAAGCGGUUUUCAGCAAGGUAUUCUUUGCAAGCACUAAAAUUAUCGGUAACAGAUAGUUGUGUGAUAAGAUAAUUCGUAAUGGGUAACAAGUAAAAAAAGUAACUAAGGUGAAGCAAAGUGGACCAAUCCUUUUUGUAGCAAAGUGCAAGCCUGGACGAACUCUUAUAUGAAGCAAAGCGCUCCUGAGGACACAUGGGAAUUACUGUCAAGCUAGUUUUCAUCAUGCUCAUACGAUCCGCAUUCGUUACUUUGAUAAUUUGAUAUGUGGGUGGACCGGUGCUUGGGUGCUGCCCUUCCUUGGACAAGCCUCCCACUUAUGAUUAACCCCUCUUGCAAGCAUCCGCAACUACAAAAGAAGAAUUAGGAUAAAUCUAACCAUAACAUGAAACAUAUGGAUCCAAAUCAGCCCCUUAUGAAGCAACGCAUAAAGUAGGGUUUAAGCUUCUGUCACUCUAGCAACCCAUCAUCUACUUAUUACUUCCCAAUGCCUUCCCCUAGGCCCAAAUCAUGGUGAAGUGUCAUGUAGUCGACGUUCACAUAACACCACUAGAGGAAAGACAACAUACAUCUCAUCAAAAUAUCGAACGAAUACCAAAUUCACAUGAUUACUUUAACAAGACUUCUCCCAUGUCCUCAGGAACAAACGUAACUACUCACAAAGCAUAUUCAUGUUCAUAAUCAGAGGAGUAUUAAUUAUCAUUAAGGAUCUGAACAUAUGAUCUUCCACCGAAUAAACCAACUAGCAUCAACUACAAGGAGUAAUCAACACUACUAGCAACCCACAGGUACCAAUCUGAGGUUUUGAGACAAAGAUCAGAUACAAGAGAUGAACUAGGGUUUAAGAGGACAUGGUGCUGGUGAAGAUGUUGAUGGAGAUUUACCCCCUCUCAAUGAGAGGAUCGUUGGUGAUGACGAUGGCGAUGAUUUCCCCCUCCCGGAGGGAGGUUUCCCCGACAGAACAGCUCCGCCGGAGCCCUAGAUUGGUUCUGCCUAAGUUCCGCCUCGAGAUGGCGGCGCUUCAUCCCGAAAGCUUCCUUCUGAUUUUUCCAGGUCAAAACACAUCAUAUAGCAGAAUAUGGGCAUCGGGGGCCUACCAGGUGGCCCACAAGGCUGGGGGCGCGCCCAGGGGGGUAGGGCGCGCCUGUCAGUGCAACAAACCCUGGGUCUGUUGCCCGGACUGUGCACAGGCACGGGAACAAGAUUGAAGCACCAUCCCAAGUCAGAGUAUAAGAGAUCAAGAGAUUCGAAGGACCAACAUGUAAAUCAGAUAGACCAAGAUCAAGCCGGAGAAGUAGGAUAUCGCCAAGAGAAAGGCCUCCCUUGCCGGGCAGGCGAGCCCGGCAAGGGGCGAGGCCACCCCCAGAAGCAGAUAACCGAAGCACCCCGGCAGGACAUGCCGGGGCUCACAGAAGAAAAACCACCUCACCAACCACUCAGCCACAACCCACGUCGUCAAUCAGUGCAGUAUCAAGCCGCAAAGUUACUUAGUGGCAGUCAUUCGCCACAUGGCUGCCUCUCCGUGCAGAAGAAACCCACAGAUGACACCCGUCCUGUGACGUGUCAGGAGAACAGGUGUGGAGCUGGCAAGAUAGCCCGGCAAGCCUUGCCGGGCAACCAAUGACGUGACACUAAGCGGUGCAUUUAAUGCGCCCUCUCAGCCCACAGAGUUAGGUAUGAUAGCAUUGUUUGCUAUCAUAUCAAUGCAUAAUGACUACUUUGCCAUUGUGGUGACCCCUUGAUCUAUAAAAGGAGGCCCAUGGCAACCAUAGAAAGGGUUAGAAGGUUGGAUAGCUCACACACCCAUACGCGUGUAGUUGCUGCUGCCCCAAGGCAACCCCUGCCGAGCAAGUGUACUACGCCCACCACCACCUUUUCCACCAUCAAUCCACCAAAGCGGGAGUAGGGUUUUACGCCUCACGGCGGCCCGAACCUGGGUAAAUCGCCUGUGAUCUCUGUCGUGCUGCCCCACGCCCCUCUGCUCUUUGUGCAACGCGUCGCCCCUGCCGAACCAUCAAGGGACCCCCUGGUCCCGUAGGUGGCCAUGGUUUUACCCUGACAUCUUUGGAGCGCCAGGUAGGGGGCUCGCUUGUGCGAACCUGAAGGCGUGCGCAGCGCGUCAUCUUCAUCACCAUCGCCAUCUUCGACGACACCAUCGACCAUGGCGCCCAAGAAGAAGUCCGGUCCUGCAGCUCACCCAUCCACCUCGAAGGCUCCAUUGCCCACGGCCUCCAACGCUGCGGGGGUUGCGGAAGCGCACGAGGACGCGGACGCCGCUAGGGAAGUGGUCGGAGCAGGCGGCGCCAUUGCCACUUCUCCCGCGGCCGACGCAGGAGCAGGAGGCACCGGAGGAGAGCAGCAUCAGCAACACCCUGACGGACACGCUCCCCAAGGUACGGGCGAGGGGGUUACUCCAUAUGCGCCCCUCUCCCCCGCCGAUGGGCACAGCCACAGCAACGGCGCUCGGACCGGGGCGGACCGCCGCCCUCCGGCCGCCCCCACCAUGGAUGCGGUCGUCGGGCGUGCACCUCCCCCUGGACGGGCCGACCAAGCCGCUGCGCCCGACGAAGACGCUGGCCCUCAAGCACCUUCGCCGCACCAUGCCCAGGUGGUCGCCCCGCAUCGACAGCAGGGGUGCAGUAUUACCGCUGCUGGCACCGUCAGGAGCCACGCGACGGUAUGAUCGACUUCAUCAACAUCCAUGCCAAGCACUGCUUCGGAGGCCAUGGCGCGAGCUCAGCUGCUGCUGAGGUUUCCGCCAGCGGACGAGCAGAUGGAUGAAUGGUGUGCCACCAUCCAAAGUCUGCUCGGUUUCGCCGAAGCUGGGGGCUCGCGGCGAGCUGGCCCGCCACAACCUCCCCAAGCAACAGCAACAGCUCAUACUGCUGACCGUACAGAAGGAGCCAUCCCCAUGGUGCAGUCCCCGCCGCAGCAACCAGUGCAAGCGCAACAAAAUCAAGAUCACGACGAUGUCUCGAUGGCAUCUUCUGACCCUCGAGUACGUCCAGGCCAACAUCGAGCCCCGGAGGAUGGGCGGAGAGGAGACGCGCGCAUCGUCAUCGAGCAGCGUCUCGAUGACUUCGGCCGGACCGACGGGUGCGAUGGCCUCAAUGUCGAUGAGCCUACGCUCGGUGUUGGUGGGUGCCUACCUUUCGAGGUUGGCUGCCCUGCCUUUACACGAGAGCUGCAGCAAGUCUGUUGGUCGUCCGUCCGCACAUUCAAGCCAGAGAUACCUGAGAAGUACGACGAGAGGCUGAACCCGGGAAAGUUCCUGAGCAUCUACACCAUCGCUGUUCAGGCUGUCGGGGGAAGAGAUGAGAAGGUGUUCGCCAACUACUUCCAUUUGGCCGUCAAGUCCAGUGUGAGGUCUUGGCUGAUGCACCUACCGAAGAACUCCAUUUCGUCGUGGGCUGACCUGUGCCAUGAUUUCAUUGACGCCUUCACUGGCGGUCAUCAAGAACCCGGCAGGCCCGGCGAUUUGUAGCUUCUCCAGCAUAAGGAAGGAGAAACUCUUCAUAAGUAUUUACAGAGAUUCAGCAAAGUUCAUGGAAAUAUCCCAAAUAUCCAUUCGACAGCCAUAAUAGCUGCCUUCCAGUCCAAUGUGCACAACCAUCGUAUUCGUUCCAAGAUGAAUGUGCGGUUGCCCAAGACUGUGAAUGAGCUUUACACAUUAGUGGAUAAGUGUGCUCAGAUGGAGGAGGGAAGGAGGUUGCCCGGAGAGGAAGAUUGCACCAAUGUUGAUUCAGAGGAUGAGGAUGAAUCAACUAGUCAGAAGAAGAGCAAGAAGCGCAGUAAGAAGCGAAGAGAUAAGGCAGUGAUGACUAUUGAUGGAUCUGGUACGCCUAGUACCGGCAACAAGGCCAAGGCAGAGGCCCCCGACAAGGAAGCUGCCGUGUGCACUGACUGCCGGGAGGCCGCUGCUGCCGAGAAAGCCAGGAAAGGUGAUGGGCCGUAUUGCAAGAUUCAUCGGACCAAGGGCCACGACCUUCAAGAGUGUUAUCAAGUUGAGCAGCUUGUCAAGAAGCAGAUGGCAGAAUAUGAGAAGCGUGACAAGGAAAAAGGUCAGAAUGUUGCUAGCGGUAAGGGCCGAGGUGGUGAAGUAAAUCGCCCCGGCAAGCCCAUUCGUAACCAUGGAAAGCCCGCCAUAGGUCGAGAGAAGGAAAACCGUGAUGAUGAGAGUGAUGGAGGGGAUGAAGAGGAAACCAGUGAGCAAGAGUCUCAGAAGGCCAUAGACGCCCUGUGCAUUGACGGAGGUGCAUCUCUGCACACUUCUCACUGUCAGCUCAAGCGGUGGGCACGAGAGGUCAAUGUUGUAGAACUAGCGCCAGAGGCCCGGAAGCUGCUCAAAUGGUCCCGCACGCCCAUCAUCAUUGACGAGGAGGAUCAUCCUGGUCGUACCACUGCGGUAGGAUGUUUGUCGUUGUUGGUCUCCCCAACAAUUCUCAACCUCGAGGUCACAAAGAUGUUGGUGGAUGAUACGUCUCCAACGUAUCUAUAAUUUUUGAUUGUUCCAUGCUAUUAUAUUACCCCUUUUGGAUGUUUAUGGGCUUUAUUUUACACAUUUAUAUCAUUUUUGGGACUAACCUACUAACCGGAGGCCCAGCCCGUAUUGCUGUUUUUUUUUGCCUAUUUCAGUAUUUCGAAGAAAAGGAAUAUCAAACGGAGUCCAAACGGAAUGAAACCUUCAGGAGCGUGAUUUUUGGAACGAACGUGAUCUAGAGGACUUGGAGUGCAAGUCAAGAAGCAAUCGAGGCGGCCAGGAGAUAGGAGGGCGCGCCCCUGUCUCAUGUGCCCCUCGAGCGGCCACCGACGUACUUCUUCCUCCCAUAUAUACCUACGUACCCCGAAAACAUCCAGGGAACCAACGUAACCUUCUGUAUCCGCGAAAAACAAUUUCCACCGCCGUAACCUUCUGUAUCCGCGAGAUCCCAUCUUGGAGCCUUCGCCGGCGCUCCGCCGGAGGGGGAAUCGACCACGGAGGGCUUCUACAUCAACACCAAAGCCCCUCCGAUGAGUUGUGAGUAGUUUACCACAGACCUUCGGGUCCAUAGUUAUUAGCUAGAUGGCUUCUUCUCUCUUUUUGGAUCUCAAUACCAUGUUCUCCCCCUCUCUUGUGGAGAUCUAUUCGAUGUAACUCUUUUUGCGGUGUGCUUGUCGAGAUCCGAUGAAUUGUGGGUUUAUGAUCAAGUUUAUCUAUGAGAAAUAUUUGAAUCUCCUCUGAAUUCUUUUAUGUAUGAUUGAGUUAUCUUUGCAAGUCUCUUCGAAUUAUCAGUUUGGUUUGGCCUACUAGAUUGAUCUUUCUUGCCAUGGGAGAAGUGCUUAGCUUUGGGUUCAAUCUUGCGGUGUCCUUACCCAGUGACAGAAAGGGUUGCAAGGCACGUAUUGUAUUGUUGCCAUCGAGGAUAAAAAGAUGGGGUUUAUAUCAUAUUGCUUGAGUUUGUCCCUCUACAUCAUGUCAUCUUUCUUAAUGUGUUACUCUGUUCUUAUGAACUUAAUACUCUAGAUGCAUGCUGGAUAGCGGUCGAUGUGUGGAGUAAUAGUAGUAGAUGCAGGCAGGAGUCGGUCUACUUGUCGCGGACGUGAUGCCUAUAUACAUGAUCAUGCCUAGAUAAUCUCAUAAUUAUUCGCUUUUCUAUCAAUUGCUCGACAGUAAUUUGUUCACCCACCGUAAUACUUAUGCUAUCUUGAGAGAAGCCACUAGUGAAACCUAUGGCCCCCGGGUCUAUCUUUUAUCAUAUAAGCUUUCAAUCUACUUUUAUUUGCAUCUUUACUUUUUGCAUCUAUAUUAUAAAAUACCAAAAAUAUAUUUAUCUUAUCAUACUAUCUCUAUCAGAUCUCACUUUCGCAAGUGGCCGUGAAGGGAUUGACAACCCCUUUAUUGCGUUGGUUGCGAGUUCUUUGUUUGUUUGUGUAGGUGCGUGGGACUUUUGAGGAGCCUCCUACUAGAUUGAUGCCUUGGUUCUCAAAAACUGGGGGAAAUACUUACGCUACUAUUGCUGCAUCACCCUUUCCUCUUCAAGGAAAACCAACGCAAGCUCAAGACGUAGCAAGAAGGAUUUUUGGCGCCGUUGCCGGGGAGGUCUUCGCUCAAGUCAAGAUAUACCAAGUACCCAUCACAAACUCAUCUCCCUCGCAUUUACAUUAUUUGCCAUUUGCCUCUCGUUUUCCUCUCCCCCACUUCACCCUUGCCGUUUUAUUUGCCCUCUCUUUCCCAAUCUUCUCCUCUCUUUUUCGCUUGCCUUUUUUUGUUUGUUUGUGUGCUGGAUUACUUGUUGCCAUGGCGCAAGAUAAUACCAAAUUGUGUGAUUUCUCCAAUACCAAUAAUAAUGAUUUCCUUAGUACUCUGAUUGCUCCUCUUAAUGAUGUUGAGUCUUGUGAAAUCAAUACUGCUUUGCUGAAUCUUGUUAUGAAAGAUCAAUUCGCCGGCCUUCCUAGUGAAGAUGCCGCUACUCAUCUAAACAACUUUGUUGAUUUGUGUGAUAUGAAAAAGAAGAAAGAUACGGAUAAUGAUAUUGUUAAAUUGAAGUUAUUUCCGUUUUCACUUAGAGAUCGUGCUAAAGUUUGGUUUUCGUCUUUGCCUAAAAAUAGUAUUGAUUCUUGGAACAAGUGCAAAGAUGCUUUUAUCUCUAAGUAUUUUCCUCCCGCUAAGAUUAUCACUCUUAGGAAUGACAUUAUGAAUUUUAAACAACUUGAUCAUGUGCAUGUUGCCCAAUCUUGGGAAAGAAUGAAAUUGAUGAUUCGCAAUUGCCCUACUCAUGGUUUGAGUUUAUGGAUGAUCAUACACAAUUUUUAUGUCGUUUUGAACUUUGCUUCUAGAAAUCUUUUAGAUUCGGCCGCGGGAGGCACGUUUAUGGAAAUCACUUUAGGAGAUGCUACAAAACUUCUUGAUAAUAUUAUGGCUAAUUAUUCUCAAUGGCACACCGAAAGAUCUUCUAGUAAAAAGGUGCAUGCUAUAGAAGAAAUCAAUGUUUUGAGUGGAAAGAUGGAUGAACUUAUGAAGUUGUUUGCUACUAAAAAUACUCCUCUUGAUCCCAAUGAUAUGCCUUUGUCUACUUUGAUUGAGAAUAAUAAUGAAUCUAUGGAUGUGAAUUUUGUUGGUAGGAAUAGUUUUGGAAACAAUGCUUAUAGAGGAAACUUUAAUCCUAGACCGUUCCCUAGUAAUUCCUCUAAUAAUUAUGGAAAUUCCUACAAUAAUUCUUAUGGUAAUUUUAAUAAGAUGCCCUCUGAUUUUGAGAAUAGUGUGAAAGAAUUUAUGAUCUCUCAGAAGAAUUUUAAUGCUUUGCUUGAAGAAAAAUUGCUCAAAGUUGAUGAUUUGGCUAGGAACGUUGAUAGACUUUCGCUUGAUGUUGAUUCUCUUAAACUUAGAUCUACCCCUCCUAAGCAUGAUAUCAUUGAGUCUCUCAAAGCAAUGAGAAUUUCCAUUGAUGAGUGCAAGGAAAGAACCGCUAGAUUGCGUGCUAAAAAGAUUGCUUUGUAAAGGCGUGUUCUUCUAGUUUCCAUGAAAAUAAGGAUGAAGAUCUUAAAGUUAUUGAUGUGUCUCCUAUUAGAUCUUUGUUUUGCAAUAUGAAUCUUGUUAAUAAUGGGACUGGAGAUGAGUCAACUUUAGUUAGAAGGCGUUCCAACAAUUCGGAGUUUUUAGAUCUUGAUGCUAAAUUUGGUAAAAGUGGGAUUGGAGAGGUCAUGACUUUAAAUAGCAUUGAACCCACUAUCUCGGAUUUCAAGGAAUUUGAUUAUGAUAAUUGUUCUUUAGAAGGCUGCAUUUCCUUGUUGCAAUCCGUUGUUAAUUCUCCUCAUGCUUAUAGUCAAAAUAAAGCCUUUACCAAACAUAUCGUUGAUGCCUUGAUGCAAUCUUAUGAUGAAAAACUUAAUUUGGAAGUUUCUAUACCUAGAAAACUUAAUGAUGAGUGGGAACCUACUAUAAAGAUUAAAAUUAAAUAUCAUGAGUGUUUUGCUUUGUGUGAUUUGGGUGCUAGUGUUUCCACGAUUCCGAAAACUUUAUGUGAUAUCCUAGGUUUCCAUGAUCUUGAUGAUUGCUCUUUAAAUUUGCACCUUGCGGAUUCCACCAUUAAAAAGCCAAUGGGAAGAAUCAAUGAUGUUCUCAUUGUUGCAAAUAGAAAUUUGGUGCCCGUAGAUUUUAUCGUUCUUGAUAUAGAUUGCAAUCUUUCUUGCCCUAUUAUUCUUGGUAGACCUUUCCUUAGAACGAUUGGCGCGAUUAUUGAUAUGAAGGAAGGGAAUAUUAGAUUCCAAUUUCCAUUAAAGAAAGGCAUGGAGCACUUUCCAAGAAAGAAAGUCAAAUUACCUUAUGAAUCUAUCAUGCGGGCUACUUAUGCAUUGAGUGCCAAAGAUGGCACAACUUAGAUCUAUCUUCGCUUUUAUGCCUAGCUAGGGGCGUUAAACGAUAGCGCUAGUUGGGAGGCAACCCAAUUUUAUUUGUGUUUUUUGUUUUUGUUUCUGUUUAGUAAUAAAUUUUGCAUCUACCUUCUGUUUAGAUGUGUUUUCAUGUUUUAAUUACUGUUUGUGCCAAGUAGAACCUAUAGGAUAACCUAUGGUGAUAGUUAAUUUGAUUCUGCUGAAAAACAGAAACUUUGCGCGCACGACAAACAAUUUAGUAAAUCACAGAAAAGUGAUUUUGCGUUGAUUCUUUUUGCUGUAGAUCAAUAGACAAAUUUUCCAGGACUUCCUAUUUUGGUAGAAUUUUUGGAGUUCCAGAAAAUUGCGUUAGUUACAGAUUACUACAGACUGUUCUGUUUUUGACAGAUUCUGUUUUUCGUGUGUUGUUUGCUUAUUUUGAUGCAUCUAUGGCUAGUAAAAUAGUUUAUAAACCAUAGAGAAGUUGGAAUACAGUAGGUUUAACACCAAUAUAAAUAAAGAAUGAGUUCAUUACAGUACCUUGAAGUGGUGUUUUGUUUUCUUUCACGGAGCUUACGAGAUUUCUGUUGAGUUUUGUGUUGUGAAGUUUUCAAGUUUUGGGUAAAGAGUUCAUGGACUAUGGAAUAAGGAGUGGAAAGAGCCUAAGCUUGGGGAUGCCCAAGGCACCCCAAGAUAUUAAAGAAUAGCCAAAAGCCUAAGCUUGGGGAUGCCCCGGAAGGCAUCCCCUCUUUCGUCUUCGUUCAUCGGUAACUUUACUUGGAGCUAUAUUUUUAUUCGCCACAUGAUAUGUGUUUUGCUUGGAGCGUCGUGUAUGAUAUUAGUCUUUGAUUUUUAGUUUCCCACAAUCAUCCUUGCUGUACACACCUUUUGGGAGAAGCCCACUUGAUUGAAAUUUAUUAGAAUACUCUAUGUGCUUCACUUAUAUCUUUUGAGCUUGAUAGUUUUUGCUCUAGUACUUCACUUAUAUCUUUUAGAGCACGGCGGUGGCUUAAUUUUGUAGAAAUUGCUAGUCUCUCAUGCUUCACUUAUAUUAUUUUGAGAGUCUUUUAGAACAGCAUGGUAUUUGCUAUGGUUAUAAAAUUGGUCCUAGAAUGGUAGGCAUCCAAGUUGGGUAUAAUAAAAACUAUCAUAGGAAGUGAAUUGGAUGCUAUGAUCAAUUUGAUACUUGAUAAUUGUUUUGAGAUAUGGAGGUAGUGAUAUUUAAGUCAUGCUAGUUGGAUGAUUAUGAAUUUAAAGAAUACUUGUGUUGAAGUUUGUGAUUCCCGUAGCAUGCACGUAUGGUGAACCGCUUUGUGCUGAAGUCGGAGCAUAAUUUAUUUAUUGAUUGUCUUCCUUAUGAGUGGCGGUCGGGGACGAGCGAUGGUCUUUUCCUACCAAUCUAUCCCCCUAGGAGCAUGCGCGUAAUACUUUGUUUUUGAUGACUUGUAGAUUUUUGCAAUAAGUAUAUGAGUUCUUUUGACUAAUGUUGAGUCCAUGGAUUAUACGCACUCUCACCCUUCCACCAUUGCUAGCCUCUCUUGUACCGCGCAACUUUUGCCGGUACCAUACACCCACCAUAUACCUUCCUCAAAACAGCCACCAUACCUACCUAUUAUGGCAUUUCCAUAGCCAUUCCGAGAUAUAUUGCCAUGCAACUUUCCAUCGUUCCAUUUAUAUGACACGCAUCAUCAUUGUCAUAUUGCUCUUUGCAUGAUCAUGUAGUUGACAUCGUAUUUGUGGCAAGGCCACCUUCAUAAUUUUCAUACAUGUCGCUCUUGAUUCAUUGCAUAUCCCGGUACACCGCCGCAGGCAUUCAUAUAGAGUCAUAUCUUGUUCUAAGUUUUGAGUUGUAAGUAAAUAAAAGUGUGAUGAUCUUCAUUAUUAGAGCAUUGUCCUAGUGAGGAAAGGAUGAUGGAGACUAUGAUUCCCCCACAAGUCGGGAUGAGACUUCGGACUUUACAAAAAAAAGAAAAAAAAAAGAGAAAGGCCAAAAGAAAAAAAAAAGAAAGGCCAAAGAAAAAAAGAAAAAAUGAGAAAAGAAAAAAUGAGAGAAAAAGAGAGAAGGGACAAUGCUACUAUCCUUUUACCACACUUGUGCUUCAAAAUAGCACCAUGAUCUUCAUGAUAGAGAGUCUCCUAUGAUUGUCACUUUCAUAUACUAGUGGGAAUUUUUCAUUAUAGAACUUGGCUUGUAUAUUCCAAUGAUGGGCUUCCUCAAAAUGCCCUAGGUCUUCGUGAGCAAGCGAGUUGGAUGUACACCCACUUAGUUUCUUUUGUUGAGCUUUCAUACAUUUAUAGCUCUAGUGCAUCCGUUGCAUGGCAAUCCCUACUCACUCACAUUGAUAUCUAUUAAUGGGCAUCUCCAUAGCCCGUUGAUACGCCUAGUUGAUGUGAGACUAUCUUCUCCCUUUCUGUCUUCUCCACAACCACCAUUCUAUUCCACAUAUAGUGCUAUGUCCAUGGCUCACGCUCAUGUAUUGCGCGAAAGUUGAAAAAGUUUGAGAUCACUAAAGUAUGAAACAAUUGCUUGGCUUGUCAUCGGGGUUGUGCAUGAUUAAAUACUUUGUGUGAUGAAGAUAGAGCCUAGCCAGACUAUAUGAUUUUGUAGGGAUAACUUUCUUUAGCCAUGCUAUUUUGAGAAGACAUGAUUACUUUGAUUAGUAUGCUUGAAGUAUUACUAUUUCUUAUGUCAAUAUGAACUUUUAUUUUGAAUCAUUUGGAUCUGAACAUUCAUGCCACAAUAAAGAAAAUUACAUUGAGAAUUAUGCUAGGUAGCAUUCCACAUCAAAAAUUCUGUUUUUAUCAUUUACCUACUCGAGGACGAGCAGGAAUUAAGCUUGGGGAUGCUUGAUACGUCUCCAACGUAUCUAUAAUUUUUGAUUGUUCCAUGCUAUUAUAUUACCCCUUUUGGAUGUUUAUGGGCUUUAUUUUACACAUUUAUAUCAUUUUUGGGACUAACCUACUAACCGGAGGCCCAGCCCGUAUUGCUGUUUUUUUUUGUUGCCUAUUUCAGUAUUUCGAAGAAAAGGAAUAUCAAACGGAGUCCAAACGGAAUGAAACCUUUGGGAGCGUGAUUUUUGGAACGAACGUGAUCAAGAGGACUUGGAGUGCAAGUCAAGAAGCAAUCGAGGCGGCCAGGAGAUAGGAGGGCGCGCCCACCCCUCCUGGGCACGCCCCUGUCUCCUGGGCCCCUCGAGCGGCCACCGACGUACUUCUUCCUCCUAUAUAUACCUACGUACCCCGAAACCAUCCAGGGAGCCAACGAAAAACAAUUUCCACCACCGUAACCUUCUGUAUCCGCGAGAUCCCAUCUUGGAGCCUCCGCCGGAGGGGGAAUCGACCACGGAGGGCUUCGACAUCAACACCAAAGCCCCUCCGGUGAGUUGUGAGUAGUUUACCACAGACCUUCGGGUCCAUAGUUAUUAGCUAGAUGGCUUCUUCUCUCUUUUUGGAUCUCAAUACCAUGUUCUCCCCCUCUCUUGUGGAGAUCUAUUCGAUGUAACUCUUUUUGCGGUGUGUUUGUCGAGAUCCGAUGAAUUGUGGGUUUAUGAUCAAGUUUAUCUAUGAGAAAUAUUUGAGUCUCCUCUGAAUUCUUUUAUGUAUGAUUGAGUUAUCUUUGCAAGUCUCUUCGAAUUAUCAGUUUGGUUUGGCCUACUAGAUUGAUCUUUCUUGCCAUGGGAGAAGUGCUUAGCUUUGGGUUCAAUCUUGCGGUGUCCUUACCCAGUGAUAGAAAGGGUUGCAAGGCACGUAUUGUAUUGUUGCCAUUGAGGAUAAAAAGAUGGGGUUUAUAUCAUAUUGCUUGAGUUUGUCCCUCUACAUCAUGUCAUCUUUCUUAAUGCGUUACUCUGUUCUUAUGAACUUAAUACUCUAGAUGCAUGCUGGAUAGCGGUCGAUGUGUGGAGUAAUAGUAGUAGAUGCAGGCAGGAGUCGGUCUACUUGUCGCGGACGUGAUGCCUAUAUACAUGAUCAUGCCUAGAUAAUCUCAUAAUUAUUCGCUUUUCUAUCAAUUGCUCGACAGUAAUUUGUUCACCCACCGUAAUACUUAUGCUAUCUUGAGAGAAGCCACUAGUGAAACCUAUGGCCCCCGGGUCUAUCUUUUAUCAUAUAAGCUUUCAAUCUACUUUUAUUUGCAUCUAUAUUAUAAAAUACCAAAAAAAUAUUUAUCUUAUCAUACUAUCUCUAUCAGAUCUCACUUUCACAAGUGGCCGUGAAGGGAUUGACAACCCCUUUAUUGCGUUGGUUGCGAGUUCUUUGUUUGUUUGUGUAGGUGUGUGAGACUUUUGAGGAGCCUCCUACUGGAUUGAUACCUUGGUUCUCAAAAACUGAGGGAAAUACUUACGCUACUAUUGCUGCAUCACCCUUUUCUCUUCAAGGAAAACCAACGCAAGCUUAAGACGUAGCAGUGGAUGGCAGGGCCGGGUUGAAUCUGAUUUCCCCGGCAGUCAUCAGCAAGCUUCAGAUAUGAGAAGAUGAGCUAGAGGUUACCAGCACGUUUCAAGGAGUUAAUCCCGGCAGGAGCCGUCCUAAGGGAAAGAUCACGUUGCCGGUAACGUUUGGGGGAGAGCUGAACUACCGGACUAAGAGGAUUAUGUUUGAUGUGGUUGAUCUCCCCCUGCCGUACAAUGGGAUUCUUGGACGCCCAGCCUUGGCUAAGUUCAUGGCAGCAUCCCACUAUGCCUACAACACCUUGAAGAUGCAUGGGCCACUGGGAGUCAUCACCAUCCCAUCAGAUGAGAAGGAUGCAAUUAUUUGUGUGGACAAGAUGUACCGGGACGCUGUCGCGGCAGAGGCAGCGGCAACAGCAAUUCCCGCCAAGGAAAGCAAAGGAAAGAAGACAGGAUGUAAGGCUCCAGCAAAGAGUCCAGGAAGCGUGCCCCCACCGAGUGCACAACACCCAUUGACAAUGCGCCGGAGUGUUCUAAUAGCAAGAGAUCCAAGGUUGCCGCACCCCAAGUGAAGAAGGUCCCGACAUAGCUGGCUGGCGUUGAUGGUACUUUCACUAUUAGCGCCACCCUCAAUGACAAAUAGGAAAGCGCACUCGUUGCCUUCCCACGGGCGAAUAUCGAUGUGUUUGCCUGGCAACCAUCUGAUAUCCCCGGUGUUCCCGGGGAGGUAAUCGAGCACCACCUUGCUGUCUGCCCACACGCCCGACCUAUCAAGCAGAAAGUCCGGAAACAUGCCUUGGAGAGACAGCAGUUCAUUGCAGAAGAGAUCAAGAAGCUUGAGGCAGCUAGUUUGGUGUCGGAGUAAUGGGCCACGGGUAGCCUAACCCGAGUCCCUGAACCUUUCAAGACAUUGGGCCGACUACGCCCCACAAAUAUCCAGAAUGAAGCGCCGCCUCCUGGUGGCCGGCUGGCUCAAGUGGCCGGCUGCCGGAAGGCGGCCAAGCUCUAGAAGACGGCACAAAGAUGAGCCGACUCCAGAGAGGCCGGCUCCUAGCAGGCGGCCACGGCGCCCUCAAAGUAUGCACCCCCAUUAAGAGGACAAGACAGGAUGUGGCUACAGUAUAGCCCAUCUCCCCCGUAUCCAGGACAAGGCGCGGCCACAGUGCCCCGUACCGGCGGAGAUCUCUGCAUGACACGGCACUGUUGCCACUCCUCCCUUGACGUCACUCCUGACAGGCAGAGCCCUGUUCCCACGACGGCCUGUCGGUACGGCCUGCAGGCGACGGGCCCUACCAGGCAGCGAGAGCCCGAAAGACGGCGGGAGCCUGACCAGUCAGACCUGAGGGAGGCCGGCCUCUAGCAGGCGGCCCUCUCCUCCCUUGCGGUCCGCACGCCAUUAACCAGAUGAGACACGGUGUGGCUACAGUGAUCUCCCACCAGGUGGCGGGACUGUAGCCACGCUCCCUUGACCAAGCAUGCGUCAUCAACAUUGCGGCUACAUUAAUUAGCCACCGACCAGACCCGCAAGCGGCGCAGGCGGCCUGUCGGCUCCGUACCCGACCAGUUGGCGGGGCCCACCAGGCGGCGGGCCCCAGCAGCCGGCGGAGAAGCCGGCGGCCAGAGUCGCUGACGGUCGGGUCCUACACCCAGCCUGAUUACCAUUGUACCCCUGGGGGGUAGGCCUAUAUAAACCCCCCAGGGCACCCAUGCAAAGGGUUCCCAACCUGUUAGAACUAGACUCACACAUAGAGGGAGGAGAGAGCAAGCCUUGCCCUCUUCUACCUCUAGCAUACAGCUCGAGGAGCGCGAUUGUAUUCACUAGUGCCUUAGUGAUCAUGCGGAGACCCCCAGAGCAGGACUAGGGGUGUUAUCUCCUAGGAGAGCCCCGAACCUGGGUAAAGUGCGCCGGCGUACGUGUCUACGCCUCAUCUCGCUUCCAGGCACCAGCGACGUUCUACUCGCUCCCACCAUGAUAAGACAUCCUUUGGCCUAUGUCGCACCCAACCCCCGACAUUUGGCGCCCACCAUGGGGCGAGGUGCACCGUCUACCAAAGACCUGUUCUGGACGAGAACCUUGUUCCUUCCUGGCGAGCGUAGCCAGCCCGGCAUGCCAGACGGCGUCUGUGCCAACACGCUGCACGGCGCAGGGGUCGCGUGCGCGGCGAGCUGCCUCGCCGACCUUGUCGGCGAAAUUCGCCUCUCCGACGAGCCCGCAUCUGACGCGGGCACUGUUGACCCCGAGAGCCGCCUCGUCAGCCUGCUUGACCAGCUGCACGUCGCCAGCGAGCCUGCUAUGGACUUGGAGUCGGUCGGCUCCACCGACCCGAUGCUCGUCGACUCCGACACGGCGUCGCUCGACGCGUUCCCCGCCAACGUGGUGGUCUACGACGAGCCGCUUCCUCGCGCAGACAGCGGCGGCGGCACUGUCACGGAGGUGCUCGUCAUCAGCCACAGCGAGCACUCUGGCGGAGGUGGCCAGGAUCCGCUGCAAGCGGCACUGCAAGACCUGACUGCGCCCAUUCCAGAAGAUGCCGAUGCCGAGACGCUGGAAAGCGCCAACAGGCUGGCCAGCAUGAGACGCCUUUCGGAGGCCUACCAGCGUGAGAUGGACCGUGCCGUCGGCAGCACGCCGGCUCCUGGUGGGCCUAGCCGCAUCGGCGUAAUCCGGCAGCGUGGCGCGACCAUAGCCAGCAUGUUCGGGACAGAUCGUCCCGUCUACGCCACGCCCGCAGAGAACAUACGAGCUGCCCAGGCGGCAGCAGAUGAGCUAGACAAGCUCGAGGGCGACGAGCGUCGCCACAUGACGGAGCGCGUCCAGCAGCUCCUUGAUGCAGCUGCUAAGCAGCAAGAGGCCGGCUGCCGCACCGAAGCGCCCAACUAGCGAAACGACGAUCCGCCUCCUCGCCGAGAUCAAGGCGCGACAUCCCGGACACCGACUGGUGGCGUCCGCGGCAGAAGAGACAAGGAGCCGGCUACCAGCCGCAGCCGGACUCGGAUCACCAUCAAGCGCGACCAAGAUGGCCGCCACAGAGCAGUGGNNNNNNNNNNNNNNNNNNNNNNNNNNNNNNNNNNNNNNNNNNNNNNNNNNNNNNNNNNNNNNNNNNNNNNNNNNNNNNNNNNNNNNNNNNNNNNNNNNNNNNNNNNNNNNNNNNNNNNNNNNNNNNNNNNNNNNNNNNNNNNNNNNNNNNNNNNNNNNNNNNNNNNNNNNNNNNNNNNNNNNNNNNNNNNNNNNNNNNNNNNNNNNNNNNNNNNNNNNNNNNNNNNNNNNNNNNNNNNNNNNNNNNNNNNNNNNNNNNNNNNNNNNNNNNNNNNNNNNNNNNNNNNNNNNNNNNNNNNNNNNNNNNNNNNCCUAUUGACCACCCAACACUCAGCGCAUCGGCCACCGAGAAGGAGUCGGAGAGAACGAUGCCCGCCACCGGAUUGACCGCCUCAACCGAUCCCUGGCGCUAGAAGAAGAAGACGCAUUGGGUCCGCCUUGCUUUGGCCCCCUCAUCUGAGAUGAGCCCUUCCCCAAAGGGUUCACGCUACCAAGAGAUACGCUCAAGUACACCGGCUCCGUGAAGCCAGAGAACUGGCUGGUCGACUACUCCACGGCCGUCAGUAUAGCAAACGGCAACAAGCGUGUUGCUGUGAAGUAUGUUCCGCUCAUGCUCCAGGGCACCGCCCGGACGUGGCUGAAUAGCCUGAAGCCCCGCAGCAUCAACAGCUGGGUUGAUUUCACCGAAGCUUUCAUCCGUAACUUCACCAGCACGUACAAGCGGCCGCCCAAGCCACGCCAGCUCUCCUUGUGCGUCCAAGGCCCCAACGAAUCAACUCACGACUAUCUCACGCGUUGGGCCGAGCUGCGCAAUUCCUGCGAGGGUGUGCACGAGGUGCAGGCCAUUGAAUACUUCACUGCCGGGUGCCGGGAAGGCACCCUCCUCAAGCACCGGCUUCUCUGCGACGAGCCGGCGACCCUCGACGACUGCUGAUCAUAGCAGACAAGUACGCCACGUCCGACUCCUCCAUGAAGGCGGAGAUUCAAGUUGAUGCAUCUGGCAAAGUAGCACCUCAAGCUCCUCGGACUCCAGCUGGUGACACCAGUCGGCGUCAGCAGCAAAAUGACAGCAAGCAUAAGGCCACGCAGCCGGCUUCCACAAGCCGGCAGCUGGCGACAGUCGAAGACCAGCAGACGGAAGGGCGGCGUCCUCUCAAGCGUCAGAAGGGCGGCAAGCCCAACUGGCUGCCCGCCUUCUCGUAUGAGCAGACUCUCGAUGCACCCUGCAAGUUUCACAGCGGCGCGAAGCCAUCCAACCACACCACCCGGAAGUGCCAUUGGCUCACCAGAAUCGCCAAGGGAGAUGGACUCCUGCCUCCUCCGGCUGCCGGCCCGCCGCUUCCUCCUCCCCAGCAGGCGGCGGCCUGGCCAGUCGGCGCUAUACAAGAUGAGUAUCCUGAAGAGCAUGGAGCCUAUGUCGUGUUCACCAGCGUGGCCGACGACAAGCACAGCAGACGGCAACGACAACAAGAAGUACAUGCAGUAGCAUCAGAGACCCCCGAGUUCAUGCAUUGGUUUGAGAAGCCUAUCAGUUGGAGCAGAGCUGACCACCCGGAGGUGAUGCCCUCCCCUGGUUCUUAUGCCCUGGUCUUGGACGCCACCUUUGCAACAGGCGGGCUGCCCGCUUCUCCCGAGUUCUGAUAGAUGGCGGCAGCAGCAUCAACAUCCUAUACCGAGACACUAUGGAGAAGUUGGGAAUCAAGCAGAGGCAGCUUCAGCCUAGUCGGACUGUAUUCCAUGGAAUUGUCCCUGGCCUUUCCUGCUCACCGAUCGGCAAGAUCCAGAUAGACGUCCUCUUCGGAGACAAAGAUCACUUCCGCCGAGAGCGAGUCUGGUUUGAGGUGGUGGACCUCCAGAGCCCCUAUCAUGCACUACUUGGCCGGCCUGCUCUGGCCAAGUUCAUGGCGGUCCCCCACUAUGCUUACCUCAAAAUGAAGAUGCCGAGCACCAAGGGAAUCCUGACCAUAGUCGGAUACUACAAGAAGUCAUCCGCCUGUGCAGCAGACAGCAGCCGGCUGGCCGAGUCCCUCGUGAUCGCGGCCGAGAAACGGCUCCUUGACCGGGUUGUGGCAAUGGCAGGCAAGCAGCCGGAAAUAUCGCCAAACCCCAAGGAGUCGGAGGCUGAGGGCUCGUUCAAGCCGGCGAAAGAAACAAAGAAGAUACCCUUGGACCCGGAGCACCCGGAGAGGCACACUGUCAUAGGUGCAAACCUUGACAGCAAAUAGGAAAGCGAGCUCGUCGAUUUCCUCCGUGAGAAUCGGGACAUCUUUGCAUGGUCUCCCAAAGACAUGCCAGAUGUUCCGACGGAUUUCGCCGAGCACAAGCUACAUGUCCGACCUGGUGCCAAGCCAGUCAGGCAGCCCUUGCGCCGCCUGUCAGAAGAAAAGAGAAGAGUCAUUGGAGAAGAGAUAGCCCGGCUUCUAGCAGCCGGCUUCAUUAUGGAAGUAUUCUUCCCAGAGUGGUUAGCCAACCCAGACCUUGUACUGAAGAAGAAUAAGCAGUGGCGCAUGUGUAUCGAUUAUACCAGCCUCAACAAAACCUGCCCCAAAGAUCCAUUUGCUUUGCCAAGAAUUGACCAAGUGAUAGAUUCCACAGCCGGAUGCGAGCUGUUGAGUUUUUUGGAUGCAUACUCAGGGUAUCAUCAGAUCAAGCUGAACCCGGCCAACAGGUUGAAAACCGCCUUCAUCACACCAUUCGGAGCCUUCUGCUACCUGACCAUGACGUUCGGCUUGAGGAAUGUCGGUGCCACGUUUCAGCGUUGCAUGCAGAAAUGUCUCCUCAAGCAACUCGGCAAGAACGCCCACGUCUAUGUGGAUGACAUUGUGGUGAAGACGGAGAAGCGAGGCACCCUGCUUGAAGACCUCAAGGAAACCUUUGAAAAUUUGCGCCGUUUUCAAAUCAAGCUCAACCCGAAGAAAUGUGUCUUUGGAGUACCAGCCGGCCAGCUUCUUGGCUUCCUGGUCUCAGAGCGCGGCAUUGAGUGCAACCCUGUGAAGAUCGAGGCCAUCGAGAGGAUGGAGGUACCCACCCGACUGCUAGACAUGCAAAAGUUCACCGGCUGCUUGGCAUCCAUCAGCUGUUUCAUCAGUCGGCUAGGCGAAAAGGCUCUCCCCCUGUACCAACUCAUGAGGAAGACCACUUUUUUCGAGUGGAACGACAAGGCGGAUGAAGCUUUUCUCCAGCUCAAGAAGAUGUUGACCACUCCGCCUAUCCUGGCAGCUCCGACUGCUAAGGAGCCCAUGCUUCUCUACAUCGCCGCCACCAGCCGGGUGGUCAGCACAGUCAUAGUUGUGGAACGCAAAGAAGAAGGCAAAGCACUACCAGUCCAGAGGCCAGUGUAUUACCUGAGUGAAGUGGUGUCCGCCUCCAAGCAGAACUACCCCCAGUAUCAGAAGAUGUGCUACGGCGUGCAUUUUGCCGCCAAGAAGCUGAAGUCGUACUUUCAAGAGCACCCAAUCACUGUUGUCUGCACUACUCCACUUGCCGAGAUCAUUGGAAGCCAUGAUGCUUCGGGCCGAGUGGCCAAAUGGGCCAUAGAUUUGGCCCCAUACACCAUCUACUACCAGCCUCGCACCGCCAUCAAGUCCCAAGCACUGGCCGACUUCCUUGUCGACUGGGCCGAGACCCAGUACCUGCCACCAGCGCCGGACUCCACCCAUUGGCGGAUGCACUUUGAUGGUUCCAAGAAGCGCACCGGACUGGGAGCCGGCGUUGUCCUCACUUCUCCCAAGGGUGACAAGCUCAGAUAUGCAUUGCAAAUCCAUUUUGCCGCCUCCAACAAUGUAGCCGAAUACGAGGCACUCAUACAUGGGCUCCGGCUUGCCAAAGAACUCGGCAUUCACCGAAUCCUGUGCUAUGGUGACUCUGACUUGGUGGUCCAGCAGUCGUCAGGUGACUGGGACGCCAAGGAUGCAAACAUGGCAAGCUACCGCUUCCUCGUACAGUAACUCAGUGGAUACUUCGAAGGGUGCGAGUUCCUCCAUGUGCCAAGAAAUGACAAUGAGCAAGCAGAUGCCUUGGCACAGAUCGGCUCCACCCGGCAAGCGAUACCAGCCGGCGUCGCCCUGCAACGCCUCCUCAAACCGUCUAUCAAGCCGUCGCCAGAAUCAGACUCCAUCUUCGUGCCGGCUCCUCCUGAAACAGUGGGAUCCGACUUGAGGACCCCAGCAGCCGGCGCGGGGACUUCGGCAGGCGGCCCGGGGACUGCAGCAGUCGCACCCGGCCCGGGGACUUCAGAACUCGGCCAGGGGAUUGUAGCAGUCGGCCCGGGGACUUCAUCAACGCAGCAGGCGGCAGCCGACUCCAACCCGCCGCCUCCCGGCCCAACUGCCCUCGUGCAAGUAGCAGUCAUAGCAGUCGAAGAAAUAGCAGCACCUUCAUGGGCGCAGCCCAUCCUCAACUUUCUGGUGAACAAGGAGCUGCCGACUGAUGAGAUCUCGGCCCGACAAGUGCAACGCCUGGCAGCAGUAUACACCAUCGUCAACAGAGAACUUGUGAGGCGCAGUGUCACUGGUGUGUACCAGCGCUGCGUGGAGCCGGAGAAAGGCCAAGCAAUCCUCAAAGAUAUCCACCAAGGCGAGCGUGGUCACCACGUGGCCUCAAGAUCACUUGUUGCCAAAGCUUUCCGCCAUGGAUUUUUCUGGCUGACUGCUCUAGAAGACGCCAAAGACUUGGUCCAGAAGUGUAAAGGGUGCCAGAAGUUCCGCUCCAAGCCACAUUUGCCGGCUUCUACACUCAAGACCAUCCCCAUUGCUUGGCCCUUUGCCGUCUGGGGGCUGGACAUGGUGGGACCAUUCAAGACAGCACGCGGCGGCAUGACUCAUUUGCUUGUCGCCAUGGACAAAUUCACCAAGUGGAUAGAAGCAAAGCCAAUCAAGAAGUUGAAUGGUCCGACUGCUGUAACUUUCAUCGCUGACAUCACCACUCGGUAUGGCAUACCGCACAGCAUCAUCAUCGACAAUGGCACAAAUUUUGCCAAAGGUGCCUUGGCUCGUUUCUGCGCGACGCAAGGGCAUCCGACUGGACUUAGCGUCUGUUGCCCAUCCGCAGUUAAACGGCCAAGUGGAGCGAGCAAACGGCCUCAUUUUGUCCGGCAUCAAGCCCCGACUGGUCGAGCCUCUGGAGCGUUCGGCCGGCUGUUGGCUCGAUGAGCUGCCGGCCGUCCUCUGGAGCCUGCGCACAACUCCGAACAAGUCAACCGGCUUCACGCCUUUCUUCCUCGUCUACGAUGCCGAAGCCGUCAUCCCGACGGACAUAGAAUUCGACUCCCCUCGAGUCACCAUGUACACCGAGGAGGAGGCCAAAGAAGCACGAGAAGACGGCGUUGAUCUGCUGGAAGAGGGUCGGCUGUUGGCACUCAGCCGGUCCACAUCUACCAGCAGAGUCUACGCCGCUACUACAACCGAAAGGUCAAGCCAAGAUCCUUCCAAGAGGGAGACCUUGUGCUCCGGCUGAUCCAGCAAACAGCCAGCCAGUACAAACUCCCGGCACCUUGGGAAGGCCCCUUCAUCAUCAGCAAAGUUCUGGGCAACGACUCCUACUACCUGAUCGAUGCUCAGAAGCCCAGAGCAUGCAAAAGAGACGACUCCGGCAAGGAGACAGAGCGGUCAUGGAAUGCAAAUCUCCUUCGAAGAUUUUACAGUUGAUGCAGUAUGUACCAUGCUACCUUUUGUAUUAAAGUACGAAGACUCCGGGUCCCUCGAGAAGAGCUCGGGGACUACCCUCUUUUAUCUAUAUGAUAAGUAUUAUGCCUAUGAAUGUGUUAUUUCAUUUUUUCCGCCUAGCACCGGGUUCGAUCAGUCGGCCCGGGGGCUCACCGCCUUGCACUAUGUAAUGCUUCCUACAGCUAGACAAGUAGUGUGUCGGCACUUACACCUUCUCCUGCCAAGGCCGCAGCUCGCAGAGCGACCGUCCGGUAGGCAGGAGUUAAAGGCAGAAAAGGGUGCCCACAUGAAAAAUGGCUAAGGACCAAAAAGCAUGUACAUAGUUGAAGCCGGCUUCCCGCCUCACCGAUCGGCUGCUGAACAGCCGGCCGGCCGGCUUCUACUUAAAUUGCUAACGCUCUAGUCGGCUAAGUACUUGUCCUCCCGAAAGUGGCCAAGUACUUGACCCAGCCACAGUCCGCAGAGCGGCUGUUUGGCUGGCAAGGCGGCAACCAAGGGAGGGCGGCAAAGGAAAAAAGCUAAGGAGCAGAAAGCAAGGAAAGAUAGAACUUGGCAAAAAUAUUUACAUAUCAAAAGGCCCUUGGCCAGCAUUCAACAGAGUUUGAAAUACACCCCGCAAGUGGAAUUGUGCAAAUUUAACAAAGUUUGUCGAGACUGGUAAAGCAGGAAAAGUAAAGAUAAGACGGCAGUCUAGGGAGCAGCUGAGGGGGCCGGCUGGUUGGCGGAGUCGGUGGUGCCGGUUGGUGGAGUGGACGGCCGAUCAGUCUCCGCUUGGUCGCCUCCAGCAGCAGUCGGCGCGCUCGAGUGCGGCUCGUUGCUCGAGGCGUGAUCAAGCUGAGGCUGGCCGUCCGCUCCGACCUUUGGCGCAUCUUCUCCACUCUCCUCGUCCUCCUCGUCUUCUCCCUCAUCGCUGGAGUCGAUCACCUCGGCCGAAUCCUCGCCAUCCUCCGGGUUCAGCCCGAACCACUUUGGUGGUGCCUCGGCACCAUUCUCAGCCAGCUCAGGGAUGAAGAUGCUGGUGUUGGUGUACUCGGCAAUCGCCGCCGCCCGUUUGACAAGGUCACGCUCCACUUCCACCAGCUCCUCCUGGGCCUCCUGCCGAAACAUGGUCAACUGAGCUAAAUUUAGCCCAGGGUACCAUGCCUUGACGAACUCCAAGGCCCGGCGCGCUCCAACCCGGGCCGAGGAACCCUUCCAAGACUCCAGACGGCCGGCCGCUACCUCAAGCCAGUCAGCAGUCCGACUGGGAGUGGACGGAGCCGGCAUGUCCGGCCAGAGGGCGGAGAUCGCCUGGGCCCCGACACGCUGAAGAUGAUGCAGCAUCCGAUGAGCCGGCCGAAGGCGGGCCUGGAUGUUGAGAAGCUGCUCGCUAAGGGUCCGGGGGGCAUCGGCAGCGAUCUGCGCGCCCUCUGCCCUCUGUUCCUCGCGAUAAGCCUCAAUAGCCUGGUUGGCGGCGCCAGAGUGGCCCGGGAAGAAGUCUGCACGAGCAGAAAGCAAGUAAGACAGGAGUCAGAAGCUAGAAGCUGUCCUGGUCAGUAGCCGGUGGCUCGAAGAAAGAAAAAAGAAGAAGCUUACCAUCAACCAUGUCUUCAACACUACCGAAGCCGACAGUCAGCAGCGUCUCUUUGUCGGCCCAGGCAGAGCGUUCGGUCUCGAACUCGGCAAGGAGAUUGGACUCUUUCACCUCCGCCUCCUUCUAAGCCUUCUGGAGAAGCCCCGCCUGCUCCGCCAGUUGCGUGACCAGCCGGUCACGCUCCUCGGCCAGCUUGCUGCACUCUGCCUCCUUGGCACGUAACGCGGUGUUGGCCUCGCCCAGCUGCUGCCGCAGGACGGCGUUGGCCUCUGCAAAAGAAGAGGAAGAAAAGACAUCAGCAAUCAACAAGGAAGAAGUACAGUUGCCGGGGAGAUUCGGCCCGACUGCUCAGCAGUCGGCCCGAAUCUCAGGGACUACAGCCCGCGGGUGUGCUGUCGCGCCCCCGCAGAGAAAGAAGUUACCAACGAUCAGCAAAAAAGAAAUGCAGUCGCCGGAGAGAUCUGACCCGACUGCUCAACAGUCGACCCGAAUCUCGGGGACUACAGCCCGCGGGUGCGCCAGCGCGCCCCCGCAGGAAAAGAAGAUGAAUACUUACUCCGGCUAUCCGACAAGUCGGCGGUCCGCUGGUUCAACUCUCGGACGUUGGAGUUGAAGGCGGCCGCGCGAAAGUUAUGAUAGUCCUACGGUGAAGAUAUCAGACAACAUUAGCACUUGGAGCUUGCAAACUAAAGUUCCGAGCCGCCUGCUCGGCAGCUGGCCCGAAACUCGGGGGCUACACCCAGUGGAUGCGCUGGCGCGCCCCGCAGAGAAGUACAAGAGUCAAAGACGAAGAAGUAAGAAACAAACCCGAAUGGCUGCUCGCGAAUCCAGGAACGCCUUGUUGCAGUGCUUGAGAGCGUCGGCCUCAGCUCGGAGCUUGGCCUGGACGUCCAUGAUCGCCUUGUUUAAGGCUCCCGUCCCGCCUUCCCGCACCCAGUCGGCAGGCGCGGCACUGGUCGCUUCGGCAUCCGGGGCUGACGAGCUCGCGGCAUCGGCCUCCAGCGGUCGUGGCGCUGAGGCUGCCUUCACAAGACGACGGCGCGUUGGUGUGAGGGCCUUAGGAUUCGGGCCCGUCACCACCUUGUUUCCAGCUGGUGGCGCCGGUGGGGCAGCCGGCUGCUUGUCUCGCGCCCUUCCAGAUUGCGGUGGCACGACCACGUCCGGCAUGGCAACGCCACCGCUCUCCCGCUCCAUGUUCGGGUGCCCGUCGCCGGCUCCCCCAGUCGGCACCGUGAACUCUGGUGGAGGCGGCGCGGAGUUCAUAGGAACGAUGAAUAGCGGCUCCUGGCGUUGCGCGGCGUCUUCAAGCCGCUUCUUCGCUGCGGCAUCAGCCUCGGCCUCCGCCAGCUUCUUCAGCGCGGCGGCCUUCGCCUUCGCUAAGCGGGCGGCCUCCUGCUCCUCGCGUGCCUCCCGCGCGUUUUGCUCCUGCGCCUCCCGGAGGUCGGCGGCCGGAUCAAUUCGCCGGGUGGUGGUGGAGGUCUCCGCCGACCCAAUGACGGAGGCGGCGGCCGACUUCUCAAGAGAGAGCGGGGCCCUAAGUCAAGGAAAGUAAAGCAAGAAAGCUUAGACGGAAUCAGCAAGAAAGGAAAAGCACAGGAAAAGAUACUUACGCCGACACCAUCGGAGGCGCCUUCGGGAGCUUCUGAAACUUGGCCGCCUUCGCUGCGGACUCUUUCCGCCUGGUCGCAGCGGUCGGGUUCUUGGCCUUCUUCGGCGCACUGCCAAACAAGAUGACACCCUGUUUACGCUUGCGUGUGCCACCUCGAGCAGUCGGCUCGGCGGAGGGGCCCGCGUCCGCCUUGCCGGCGCCUCGCGCAGGGCGCGGCUCGUCUUCCUUAUCGUCAUCGUCGGGCCAAGUCUCGAUGCCGCCCCCUUCUUCGGAGCCGCCUGCUCCGUCAUCGCCACCUAUAGCGUCGUCCUCUAAGGCGGUCGCCCCAAGUCGGGGUCAUCCACGUCAUUCGCCUCUCGGUCCGACUGGUAGUCUCCACCCGGCCCUACGAUGGCGGCCAUCGCCGGAGACAUGUAGAUCUGCAUCCCAAAGAUCGACUGUUCAAGACCAAAAUCAAGACCAAGACAAGUACUAAAAAGAAAGAGUAGAAGAACUUACAGCAGGCGGCGGGUUGGCGCGGGAGUAUGGCCGCUUGCCGAACCGCCAUGACCCCUCCGACAGCUUGAGGUCGGCGUUCUCGUUCACCAUCCGGGCCACCUCGGCAGUCGGCAUGUCCUUCGUGCACAUCCGGCUCGGGUCGCGAUGCCCGCUCAUCCAACAGAUCAGAUGAGGCCGGCCUUGGAGCGGGAGAACCCGGCGCUCGACAAAGGCGACCAGCAGGUCAGAUGCUACGAGGCCCUCUGCCUCCGUCAACACUCGGAGCCGGCUGAUGGCGGCAGCGGCGUCGGCCGAUAUGGGCUUCGGCUUGUAGCCCCAGUUGGCCCGAGGCUCAGCCGGGGGGCGGCUUCGUAGGGCGGCAAGUUGAUGAAGUUGAUUGCUGGGUCGAUGUUCUCCACAUAGAAAUAUGAUUUCUGCCACAGUUUCACCAGCUGUGACAGCUUGAUGGCGGGGAAGACGUUCUUCGGCGACGACCGGUGCACCGUGACGAAGGCACCGCACUGGGCCGCCUUCUCCUUGGUGGAGGUGCCCAGUUUGGUGUAGAAGAAGGCCCCCCACAACUCGAUGGUGGGGAGGAUGCCGAGGUAGCCCUCGCAUGCCGUGACGAAGGCGGACAGCAGCGUCAUGGUGUUGGGCGUCAAGUGGUGCGGCUGAAGAUGGUAAAAUUCCAUGAAGGAGCGGAAGAAUCCGCUCACCGGCAGGCCGAAGCCGCGGAGGAAAUGCAAGCGAAAGACGACCCGCUCACCUCCUCGCGGCGCCGGCGAGAUCUCCACCUUCGGCGGCACGUGCACCUUGACAAAACCCUCGCCCGACAACCGCCGUGUGGCAUGGAGGAAGGAGAGAUGGUCGUCGAUCACGAGCGAGCCAUCCCAGUCCCCUCCCUUCUCGCGCAUCAUGGAGACCGAGCAGGAUCGAGCGGGAAGCUUGGGGUGAAAGAGCCUGACGGCGACGAGCUGUGGCGGCGCCUUGGCGGAGCGUGGAGGUGCGGCAGCAGCAAAGGAGGAAGAAGAUGAAAAUGGGGGGAGAAGGGCGCGCGUGCUCCGCCGCUCCCCCUCCUCCCCUUACUUAUAGCCCCCGAGCUACGAAGCCGAGGGGGCGAGGCGUGGGAUCAUGGGAUUAACUGCACCCACGACCCCACGACCCCGCGUUUAUUUCGCCAGUUACUGCGCAGUAACUCCCCUUGGAAUCGCAACCGCACGCCUCGGCCGCAGCGGAUCCGCCCGCGCGCCGAGGCCCGGUAGUGGCGGGCCCGGCCUGCUGUCACGUCCCAUCAUGAGCGUGGGCUGGCAGGCUGGCCUGGCUGGCUGGCGCCGCAUGGUGUACUUACAACGGGCGGCAGGCCUAGAGGCUUAGCAAGCACGCCACCUGGUUCCAGCCUUGGCGUUUCGAAAUCAUCGCACGAAGCCGCCUGGUCGCGUCCGACUCCCGACAGGCGGCGUGCCGGGAGUCGAACAAGGCAUUCAACAAGAGCAUUCGGAGAAGGAAACUGUUGAGGCUUCUCGUCUUAUCAGCCGCGACGCCUCACCAGUUUUGGGCACUACUGUCGGAGUAAUGGGCCACGGGUAGCCUAACCCGAGUCCCUGAACCUUUCAAGACAUUGGGCCGACUACCCCCCACAAAUAUCCAGAAUGAACCACCGCCUCCUAGUGGCCGGCUGGCUCAAGUGGCCGGCUGCCGGAAGGUGGCCAAGCUCUAGAAGACGGCACAAAGACGAGCCGACUCCUAGCAGGCGGCCUCCAGAGAGGCCGGCUCCUAGUAGGCGGCCACGGCGCCCUCAAAGUCUGCACCCCCAUUAAGAGGACAAGACAGGAUGUGGCUACAGUAUAGCCCAUCUCCCCCGUAUCCAGGACAAGGUGCGGCCACAGUGCCCCAUACCAGCGAAGACCUCCGCACGGCGCGGCACUGUUGCCACUCCGCCCUUGACGUCACUCCUGAUAGGCAGAUCCCUGUUCCCAUGACGGCGUGUCGGUACGGCCUGCAGGCGGCAGGCCCUACCAAGCAGCGAGAGCCCGGAAGACGGCGGGAGCCUGACUAGUCGGACCUGAGGGAGGUCGGCCUCUAGCAGGCGGCCCUCUCCUCCCUCGGGGUCCGAGCGCCAUUAACCAGACGAGACACGGUGUGGCUACAGUGAUCUCCCACCAGGCGGCGGGACUGUAGCCACGCUCCCCUGACCAAGCAUGCGUCAUCAACAUUGCGGCUACAGUAAUUAGCCGCCGACCAGACCCGCAAGCGGCGGACUCCGCACCUGACCAGUCAGCGGGGCCCACCAGGCGGCGGGCCCCAGCAGCCGGCGGAGAAGCCGACGGCCAGAGUCGCUGACGGCCGGGUCCUACACUCGGCCUGAUUACCAUUGUACCCCUGGGGGUAGGCCUAUAUAAACCCCCCAGGGCACCCAUGCAAAGGGUUCCCAACCUGUUAGAACUAGACUCACACAUAGAGGGAGGAGAGAGCAAGCCUUGCCCUCUUCUACCUCUAGCAUACAGCUCGAGGAGCGCGAUUGUAUUCACUAGUGCCUUAGUGAUCAUGCGGAGACCCCCAGAGCAGGACUAGGGGUGUUAUCUCCUAGGAGAGCCCCGAACCUGGGUAAAGUGCGCCGGAGUACGUGUCUACGCCUCAUCCCGCUUCCAGGCACCGGCGGCGUUCUACUUGCUCCCACCAUGAUAUUUCAUCCUUUGGCAUAUGUCGCACCCAACCCCCGACAUGUGGUCAGAGGAGUACCACACCCCACGUGGUUGGCAAAUCCAGUGGUAGUCCAGAAGGCUAACAGGAAGUGGAGGCUUUGUAUAGAUUUCACAGAUAUCAACAAAGCUUGCCCGAAAGACCCAUUUCCCUUGCCGCGCAUCGACCAUAUUGUGGACUCCACUUCAGGUUGUGAUUUGCUCUCCUUUCUGGACGCAUACUCUAGGUAUUACCAAAUCUUCAUGUUCAAGGAAGACGAAGAGAAGACGUUGUUCAUCACUCCAUGCGCUACACAGAAACAUAGAGGCCUAUAUGGAUGAUAUUGUGGUCAAGACCAAGGAUAAGGCCACCCUUAUUCAGGAUUUGGAAGAAACAUUUGCUAACCUGUGCAAGAUCAAUAUGAAGCUUAACCCGGAGAAGUGUGUGUUUGGUGUUCCUUCAGGCAAGCUGCUUGGGUUCUUCGUAUCCCAUCGCGGGAUCGAAGCCAACCCCGACAAGAUCAAAGCCAUUGAGCGGAUCCAAGCGCCAAGGACAUUUAAGGAUGUGAGGCGCCUGACAGGAUGUGUUGCCGCGCUUAGCAGAUUCAUCUCCAAGUCUGCCGAGCGCACCUUGCCGUUCUUCAAGAUCUUGAAGAAGGCCGGCCCUAUGAAGUGGACCCUAGAAGCAGAUGCAGCUCUGCAAGAGUUGAAGGCCUACUUGUCCUCUAUGCUUGCCUUGGUUGCUCCCAAACCCAGGAGCCGUUGCUGCUAUACUUGGCGGCAACCAACCAAGUGGUUAGUGCAGCCUUGGCAGCGCAGCGAGAAGUGGAUGAGGCAGAAAGUGAGCAGAGACCGACAGAGUCAGAGAAGGAUCAGGACAGCAGUGAGCACGGCAACGAUAGCAACCCCAAGGACGCGGCAAGGAAGAAAGUGGUGUAGCGCCCAAUGUACUUCGUCAGCUCCCUGUUACAGAGGGCUAGAUCAAGGUACUCUGGUGUGCAGAAGUUGAUCUUUGGCCUCGUUAUGGCCUCAAGGAAACUUCGCCACUACUUCCAAGCCCAUGAGUUCAUGGUUGUUACUCGUUUCCCAUUGCAAAGGAUACUCCAAAACCCAGAGGCUACCUGCAGAAUAGUGGAGUGAGCUUUGGAGUUAUCCAGCUUUGGUUUGAAGUUUGAGAGCACAUCAACUAUUCAGAGCAGGGCAUUGGCAGAGUUUACUGCAGAAUGGACGCCAACCCCUGAUGAGGAAGUGACAGAAACAGUUAUCCCCGGCAAGGAAGCGCCCCAAGAAUGGAUUAUGUAUUUUGAUGGUGCCUUUUCCCUGCAAGGUGCAGGAGCUGGCGUGCUUCUUAUCGCCCCCUCCGGGGAGCACUUGAAGUACAUCGUCCAAAUGCAUUUUCCCGGGAAGAGGCAACCAACAAUACAAAUGAGUAUGAAGGACUCCUUGCUGGGCUCGGGAUUGCAGUUGAAUUGGGAAUCAAGAAGCUGAUCAUUCGAGGAGAUUCACAGCUUGUGGUGAGACAAGUCAACAAGGAUUACCAAAGUCCAUUGAUGGAGGCAUACGUCGAGGAAGUGAGGAGAUUAGAGGAGCACUUUGACAGAUUGCAAAAAGAGCAUGUACCCCGUGCGGAAAAUAGCAUUGCUGAUCAUCUGUCAAAGUGUGUUGUGCAGAAGCUUCCUGUGGAACCAGGAACUUUUGUACUCCAUCUCACUCGGCCCUCUGUAUCCCCAGCAACAAUGGCCCGGAAGAGGAGAAAGUUGGACACCGGAAAGCCUCUCCUGGUAGAGUCGUUUGCUCCUGGAAGAUUCCCUGCCGGAAACAACUCCUCACAGCCUGCCGGACCACCCCCUCCAGCCAGGUCCACGAACCUCACGAAAGAGGCUGGUGCUCCCGCCAUAGAGGAUGUGCCGCUAGUCCUUGUUGCCGAGCCCCAGGCUCCAACUUGGGCAAGGCACAUUGUCCACUUUCUCCAAACCGGAGAGCUUCCCGGCGACCAAGAUGAAGCUGAAAAGGUAGCCCGGAGGGCUAGUAUAUAUCAGUUUGUCGAUGACACUCUAUACAGAAGGCGGCCCAACGGUGUGAAACUGAAGUGUGUCUGCCGGGAAGAAGGAAAGGAACUGCUGACUGAGAUUCACAGAGGAAUGUGUGGCUCCCACAUUGGAUCAAGGGCAUUAGUUGGGAAAGUAUUCUGGCAAGGAUUCUAUUGGCCCACAGCCCUCUAAGAUGUGGUCAAGCUAGUCACGACAUGUGAAGCCUGUCAGUUCCAUUCCAAGAAAACACACCUGCCUGCCCAAGCUCUUCAAACAAUCCCUCUAUCAUGGCCAUUUUCGGUCUGGGGGCUCGAUAUCCCCGGCCCCUUCCCCCGAGCAAUCGGGGGCUUUGUAUUCUUGUCGUUGCCAUCGACAAGUUUACAAAGUGGCCGGAAGUGACUGCCAUGAGAAAGGUGACUGCUCAGUCAGCUAUCAAGUUCCUGAAAGAAUUGGUGUGUCGUUUCGGAGUUCUGGCAAGGAUCAUCACUGACAAAGGCACCCAGUUCAUGAGCCACGCCUUCAUGCAAUAUGUUCAUGCCCUCGGAUGCAAGAUCUCAUUCGCCUCUGUGACACACCCCCGAAGCAAUGGACAAGCUGAGUGGGCGAACGCAGAAGUGUUGCGUGGACUCAAGACGAGAACUUUUGAUACGCUGCAGAAGCACGGCAGAUGGUGGAUCGAGGAGCUGCCGAUAGUUCUCUGGUCCCUUAAAACGACACCAAACCGAGCUACCGGGCAGACUCCCGUCUCCCUGAUCUAUGGGGCAGAAGCAGUUAUCCCCACGAAACUCAUUUACGGGUCGCCUCGAGUGCUUGCCUAUGAUGAAGUAGCGCAAGAUCAGCACCGGCGUGGCGACGCUGUGCUACUCGAGGAGAACUGUCUCCGGGCUGCUACGCGUGCUGCACGCUACCAGCAAGCCCUGCGUUAAUAUCAUAGCCGUAGGGUUCAUGCCCGCUGUUUUGAGGAAGGUGACCUUGUCCUUAGGCGCGUUCAGUCCGCCAAGGGUAUACACAAGUUGUCACCGAAGUGAGAAGGCCCUUACCGGGUAGCACGAGUCACCAGACCUGGCGCAGUCCAUCUAGAGACCGGAGAUGGCACUCAGUUGCAAAACUCAUUGAAUAUUGAGCAUCUCUACAAGUUCUACCCGUAUGGCGCGGCUGUCGGGCCCUGCCCGGUAUCCACCCUUUUGUACAGGCCUUGCCUCAGCUGCAUGUAACCCCUUGUACAAAGCCGGGGUGACGAGCCCGUGCAAGAGAAAAUAAAGAAGCGCUGUAGGGGGCCCUCAACUGAGAUUGCAUGCAUGCAUGAGCACACCAAGAUCAUUGCAUAAGCAUUUCAUGAGCAUUUGCAUAUGCAUAUAGAUAGGAUCGCAUCCUGCAUUCAUUCUCAUCUACAUGAAGUUGCAGGUUCCUGUCGUAAACUUGGCUUCGACAAGGAGUUGAGAAGAUUGCCCGACACAGUGAUCCCCGGCUAGACAAACAGAUAAGUUUUACCUCCUGUCCAUUAGUAUUCUGUAAGGCUAUAACUUAAGCAUGAGAAAGACCCGCCACUCUUUUGAGACUUAGUUGCUCCCAUCCAUGACUCGAACGUUGCUUCAGUCAGAAUGGUCGUAGUAGCCUUUGGGAAAAAGAAGUUGGCGGGGGGCUGGUCCCUCUGUCUAUUCCCCAGCAGACGCAGCUCUCCGGCAGACAAAAAGGGUACCGACAGGAUAGCCUGCCGAAGAAAACUUGUUUAUUUACAUUAAAGAGGCAUCUCACCUCUGCAUGGACAUACACAUGCGCAAGUUCCCGACAAGGUUCAUCUUUUUCAUUCAUAUGCUAAUACAAGUACAAGCAUUACAGUACACAAAGACGAACACGAGGGAUUACAUUAUUUGAAUUAAGACUUGGCAAUUGCCUACAGAUUUAAGAUUGAAAAAAGAUAAGUGCUCCGUAAUGCCCUUUCUUGUCCCUCUCCUCCUAGGCACGCUCGUCGAAGGCGAGGAGGGCAAAAGGAGCACCUGGGCGGGAGCCCAGCCCGCUCCCAUCGGGCUCCAGGAGAGGUAGCCCGGCGAGAAUGGGAGAGCGAGGGAACGCCUCGAUGGAGAGCACGGCAGAAGGCGGCCCCGUCAACCACCGUCACCAGGGCCGGCAGGACUCGGCUGGGCUAACGGAGCUGCAGCCCGGGAGGAAGCCUGCCGGAGUCCAGCUAGAAGACUGCUGGAGGAGCCCGGCAGCACCAUCCGCACCUCUGCAUCCAACUCCCCAGCAAAUCGCACUGCCGGGGAGGAGACGCAGAUGCAGAUGAUGGUGCUACCGCCUGAUGAAGAUGGUGCGGGCGACGAUCAGCCGGAGUCAGAGUCGUCGCUCCCCCGCCCGCUGCCGUUGUCAUCGCUGUCACUGUCCUCCUCAUCGCUUUCGCUCGAGGAGGAGCUUUCGUCGUCGGUCGAGCUCUCCGUGCAGCACCCUAAGCGACCUCCUGAUCGCCCGAAGAUCUUGACGGAGAGCAGGCCGUUCUCCAUUAAUUUGAACUGGAGAACGUGCCCCUUCGAUAAGCCGUGGGCACGGGCAAAGGUCUUCCAGCCACGACGGAGAUACAUCACAUGAGGGGCGGGGAAGUCAACGUCAACCCUCAUACCUCCGUUCCCGCAGCCCCUCAUGUGCAGCCGCAGAGCGCGCCGUUGCUCAAGCUCCAUCUCCCGCGCAAAGGGAGUUGGGAGGCGAAGAUGACCACACAAAGGCUUGUAUAGCCUGAUGAUGAACUCCCGAGGUUGGUCACUGACGUGGCCUUCCAUCGGGGGAGGAGCCGCCGGCGGGGGCGCCACCAAGGCACCGCCCCGCCCUCCUCCUCGGGCGCCACGACGACCGCGACCUCGUCCCCUUCCCCCCUCCUCGCGGACGAUUCCACUACCCCAGGGUCCAGGGGAGGAGGGGCGCGCUGUCGAGCAGAAGCCCUCGUCGCCGCCGCCGGGGCACCUCCGCGCCCUCGCCCUUGCACCAUGACUAGAAGAGAAGGAUCUCGGAGAAGAAGGAGAAGUGUGUGUAGAGAAGCCCUGCCCCGACUCCUUUUUAUAGGGGAACGAGGCUACGGGCUGGCUCCUCAUACGGGAAGCGGCCGUCCCUCUCCUCCAAUGCAACCUCUCUGCACCCACUGUGGCUCUGAGGGUCGAGACCGACCCUCUGCUCCAACCAUCGAUGCUUGGUUUUCAGCCAUGUCACUCCUCCCCGUGCCCUCCACUUCCACCACCUACCAUGCCCAAUGCAUGCGGAACACGUGGCAGGUGCGUGCAGAACGGGAGGCACGUGGGAUGGCAGUUUUCGCCCCGUGAUCGUGGGGCGAGGAGAAUCCACGGGCCACGAUCCAAGUUCUUCCAUGAUUAGCUUUACACGACGGGCGGAGAAACCGGAAACCGACCCGGAAUCAAGGCUAAUGAAGAAGCAAAAGAGACCUCAAGAGACCAGACUCUUCAGCAACCCUUGCCUAUGCACUUAUUAGGCCCUACCCAGACGACGCUCGGCAACGCAUUCGGGGCAGGCCCGGGAGCUUCUGUCGGUGCAACAAACCCUGGGUCUGUUGCCCGGACUGUGCACAGGCAUGGGAACAAGAUUGAAGCACCAGCCCAAGUCAGAGUACAAGAGAUCAAGAGAUUCGAAGGACUAGCAUGCAGAUCAGAGAGACCAAGAUCAAGCCAGAGAAGUAGGAUAUCACCAAGAGAAAGGCCUCCCUUGCCGGGCAGGCGAGCCCGGCAAGGGGCGAGGCCACCCCUAGAAGCAGAUAACCAAAGCACCCCGGCAGGACUUGUCGGGGCUCACGGAAGCAAAACCACCUCACCAACCACUCAGCCACAACCCACGUCGUCAAUCAGUGCGGUGUUAAGCUGCAAAGUUACUGAGUGGCAGUCAUUCACCACAUGGCUGCCUCUCCGUGUAGAAGAAACCCAUAGAUGACACCCAUCCUGUGACGUGUCAGGAGAACAGGCGCGGAGCUGGCAAGAUAGCCCGGCAAGCCUUGCCGGGCAACCAGUGAUGUGACACUAAGCGGUGCAUUUAAUGCGCCCUCUCAGCCCGCAGAGUUAGGUAUGAUAGCAUUGUUUGCUAUCAUAUCAAUGCAUAAUGACUACUUUGCCAUUGUGGUGACCCCUUGAUCUAUAAAAGGAGGCCCAUGGCAACCGUAGAAAGGGUUAGAAGGUUGGAUAACUCACACACCCAUACGCGCGUAGUCGCUGCUACCCCAAGGCAACCCCUACCGGGCAAGUGUACUACGCCCACCACCACCUUUUCCACCAUCAAUCCACCAAAGCAGGAGUAGGGUUUUACGCCUCAUGGCGGCCCGAACCUAGGUAAAUCGCCUAUGUGAUCUCUGUCGUGCUUCCCCACGCCCCUCUGCUCUUUGUGCAAUGCAUCGCCCCCCUAUCAAACCAGCAAGGGACCCCCUGGUCCCAUAGGUGGCCGUGGUUUUACCCUGACAGCGUCCCCACCCUUGUGGAUGGCAGGUGGCCCCCCUCUGGUGCUUUCUUUGCCCAAUAUUUUUUAUAUAUUCCAAAACAAUUCUCCGUGAAGUUUCAGGACUUUUGGAGUUGUGCAGAAUAGCUCUCUAAUAUUUGCUCCUUUUCCAGUCUAGAAUUCCAGCUGCCGGCAUUCUCCCUCUUCAUGUAAACCUUAUAAAAUAAGAGAGAAAAGGCAUAAGUAUUGUGAUAUAAUGUGUAAUAGCAGCCCAUAAUGCAAUAAAUAUCAACAUAAAAGCAUGAUGAAAAUGGACGUGUCAAAAGGAAUAAACUUUAUUUUAUGUUUGGGAACCGCUUAUGAUGUAUCUAGCAUGGAAAGUAUUGGGAACAACUCGGUCAUUCUCAUUUACAGGAAAAGCAUGCCUCUCAAAAUAUUUUAUCUCUCAAUUUAAGCUUUGAGCUCUGGCACCUCUACAAAUCUCCGCUUCCCUCUGCGAAGGGCCUAUCUAUUUACUUUUAUGCUAUUUUUAUUUUUAUUUGAGUCUCCAUCUUCUCUUAUAAAGCACCAACUAGGGAGCACUAUGAUCAUACUUGUGCAUUGGAUGUAGCUAAUAUUCGAGUGUGUUUCGUGAAUGGAUCAAUGAUUGAGCAUGAUGGGCUAGGGAUUGCUUUCUUUAGUGUUGAUAUUCUGAAAGACAUGGUUGCUUGUUGAUAUGCUUGAAUAUUGAAGUCUUCAUGUCAGUUAUAGAUAUUGCUUUGAACCAUCUAAAAGUCCAAAUGUCCAUGCUACAAAGAAAAGAUUAUGUGAUGAACAUGUUAGGCAGCAUUCCACAUAAAAAAUCUGUUUUUAUCAUUUACCUACUCGAGGACGAGCAGGAAUUUAGCUUAGGGAUGCUGAUACGUCUCCAAAGUAUCUAUAAAUUUUGAUUGUUCCAUGCUAUUAUAUUAUCAUUCUUGGAUGUUUUACCUUCAUUUGAUAGCAACUUUAUAUCAUUUUUUGGGACUAACCUAUUGACAUAGUGCCCAGUACCAGUUGUUUUUUGCUUGUUUUUUACUUCGCAGAAUAUCCAUAUCAAACGGAGUCCAAACACAGCGAAACUUUUUGGAGAUUUUUUCAGCCCAGAAGACAACUUGGAAGCCAAGAAAGUGCACGAGUGGAGGCCCAUGGGGCCCACCACCCACAUGGGUGCGCCAGAGGCCCCUGGCGCGCCCUGAUGGGUGGUGGGGCCCAUGGAGGUCUCCUCCACCGCCUCUCAGCUCUAUAAAUACUCAAAUAUUCCAGAAACCCUAGGGGAGCGAUCAAAACACAAUUCCAGCCGCCGCAAGUUCCAGAACCACGAGAUCCAAUCUAGAGCCCUAUUUCGGCACUGUGUCGGAGGGGAACACGGUCACGGAGGGGUUCAUCGUCCUCAUUGGUGCUCCUCCGAUGAUGCGUGAGUAGUUCACCAUAGACCUACGAGUCCGUAGGUAGUAGCUAGAUGGCUUUUUCUCUCUUUUUGAUUCUCAAUACAAUGUUCUCCUCGAUGUUCUUGAAGAUCUAUUUGAUGUAAUGACUUUUUGCAGUGUGUUUGUUGGGAUCUGAUGAAGUGCGAGUUUAUGAUCAGAUCUAUCUAUGAAUAUUAUUUAAGUUUUCUUUGAUCUCUUAUAUGCAUGAUUGUUAUAGACUCGUAUUUCUUCUCCGAAACUAUGGUUUGGUUUGGCCAACUAGAUUGAUUUUUCCUUCAAUGGGAAGAGGUGCUUUGUGACGGGUUCGAUCUUGCGGUGUCCUCACCCAGUGACAGAAGGGGUAGCGAGGCACGCAUGUAUCGUUGCUAUUAAGGAUAAAAAGAUGGGGUCUAUUCCUACAUGAAUAGAUCUUGUCUACAUCAUGUCAUCGUUCUUAUUGCAUUACCCUGUUUCUCCAUGAACUUAAUACACUAGAUGCAUGCUGGAUAGCGGUUGAUGUGUGGAGUAAUAGUAGUAGAUGCAGGCAGGAGUCGGUCUACUAAUCUUGGACGUGAUGCCUAUAUACAUGAUCAUUGCCUUGGAUAUCGUCAUAAUUAUUUGCUCUUGUAUCAAUUGCCCAGCAGUAAUUUGUUUACCCACCAUAUGCUAUUUUCUCGAGAGAAGCCACUAGUGAAAUCUACGACGCCCGGGUCUAUCUUUUAUCAUAUUAUUUUCAGAUCUAUUAUUCCAAAAACCCAAAAAUACCUUGCUGCACUUUUUCUUUACUUAUUUUAUUUUGUGUUUUUGCUAGAUCUAUUUAUCCAAUCUCAUACAAUUUAAUCUAUCUUUUUACCAUGGAGGGAUUGACAACCCCUCUUACGCGUUGGGUUGCGGGUAUUUGUUCUUUGUGUGCAGGUACCGUUUACAAAGUGUUGCUUGGUUCUCCUACUCGAUUGUUAACCUUGGUUUCAUAACUAAGGGAAAUACUUGCCAUAGUUGUGCUGCAUCAUCCCUUCCUCUUUGGGGAAAUACCAACGCAGAUUCAAGCCACGUCAAUGAUAUUUAAAACACUUUUCCUUAGGGAGAUCAACAUGAGUAUCAAAUGAUUCACAAAAAGAGGCUACUACCUCAAAGUCAAGUCCAUAUUUAGUACUAAACUUAUGAAAAGGAUCGGUUUCCAUAAAUGAUUUAACACAAUCAAACUCGGAUUUUAUACCUGACUCUUUACCUUUGUCGAGUUCUCAAUCUUCAGAGUUGCGUUUAAUUAUUUCUAGAAGACCCCAUUUGAAUUCAAUAGUUUUCUUCAUAAAGGAACCAAUAGAAGAAGAAUCGAGCAUGGAUCGAUCAUUAUGAGAAAUUCAAGCAUAAAAAUUAUGUAUAAUAAUUUCUCUUGAGAGCUCAUGAUUAGGGCAUGUGUACAUCGUGUACUUAAGCCUCCCCCAAGCUUGAGCGGUACUUUCUCCUUCAUGAGGCAAAAAAUUAUAUAUAUAAUUCUGAUCACGAUGAACCAGAUGCAUAGGAUAAAAUUCGGAUGAAAUUCCAAUUUCAAUCGGUUCCAAUCCCACGUUCCAAUAUCAUCACAUAGCCUAAACCAUGUCAAUGCCUUUCCCUCCAAAAAUAAAGGGAAAACCUUCUUCUUAAAUCCAUCCUCGGAUAAACCUGCAAGCUUAAACAAUCCACAAACUUCAUCCAAAUCGAUUAAAGUGCAUAUCGGGAUGUAUUGUUCCAUCUCCUGCAUAAGGAUUAGCUAGCAGUUUUUCUAUUAUAUCCGAAGGAAUCUCAUAAUAAAUAUUUUUAGUAGGUUCAGUAGGUUGAGCGGCAACUCUAAUUGCUAGGUGAAGAUACUCUGAACAAACCCCUCAAAGGAUUACUUUCCAUAGUGACAAGUGACAGUACAUUUUAGCAUGUAAUAUAAAUGUUUCCUUACCAAAGUCCACUCACCAAGGGCGCUUCACUCCCCGGCAACAGCGCCAGAAAAGAGUCUUGAUUACCUACAAGUAUAGGGGAUCAAUCGUAGUCCUUUCGAUAAGUAAGAGUGUCGAACCCAACGAAGAGCAGAAGGAAAUGACAAGCGGUUUUCAGUAAGGUAUUCUCUGCAAGCACUGAAAUUAUCGGUAACAGAUAGUUUGAUAGCAAGGUAAUUUGUAACGAGCAAUAAGUAGUAACAGUAACAAAGGUGCAACAAGGUAGCCCAAUCCUUUUUGUAGAAAAGGACAGGCCAGAACGGUCUCUUAUAAUAAGCAAAGCGUUCUCGAGGACACAUGGGAAUUUCAUCUAGUCACUUUCGCCAUGUUUCUUUGAUUCGCGUUCGCUACUUUGAUAAUUUGUUAUAUGGGUGGACCGGUGUUUGGGUGGUUUUUUUACUCGAACAAGCCUCUCACUUAUGAUUACCCCCUCUCGCAAGCAUCCGCGACUACAAAAGAAGAAUUAAGAUAAAUCUAACCAUAGCAUGAAACAUAUGGAUUAAAAUCAGCCCCUUACGGAAUAACGCAUAAACUAGGGUUUAAGCUUCUGUCACUCUAGCAACCCAUUAUCUACUUAUUACUCCACAAUGGCUUCCCUUAGGCCCAAGUAUGGUGAAGUGUCAUGUAGUCGACGUUCAGAUGACACCACUAAAGGAAGCAACAUCAUACAUAUUAUCAAAAUAUCGAACGAAUACCAAAUUCACAUGAUUACUUAUAACAGGACUUCUCCCAUGUCCUCAAGAACAAAAGUAACUACUCACAAAUUAUAUUCAUGUUCAUGAUCAGAGGGGUAUUGAAUAACAUCAAGGAUUUGAACAUAUAAUCUUCCAUCAAAUAAACCAACUAGCAUCAACUACAAGAUGUAAUCAACACUACUAGUAACUCACAGGUACCAAUCUGAGAUUUUGAGACAAAGAUUGAAUACAAGAGAUGAACUAGGGUUUGAGAUAAGAUGGUGUUGGUGAAGAUGUUGAUGAAGAUUAGUCCUCCCACAAUGAGAGGCUUGUUGGUGAUGUCGAUGGCUUUGGAUUCCCCCUCCCGGAGGGAAGUGUCCCUGGAGGAAUCGCUCCUGCCCAGGUCCUGCCUCGAGACGGCGGCGCCUUGUCCCGAAAGUCCUCUCUAUAUUUUUUCUAGGUCAAAACCCUUCAUAUAGUAGAAGAUGGGGGCCUAGGGCCUGCCAGUGGCCCCACAAGGUACUUGGGCAAGCCCAGGGGGUGGCCGCGCCCAAGUGCCUUGUGGGCAGCUAGUGGGUCCCCUCUGGUAUUUCUUUGCUUCGGUAUUUUUUAUGUAUUUCAUAAAUUCUCCGUGAAAUUUCUACUCAUUUGGAGUUCUGCAGAAUUGGUAUCUUUGAUAUAGAUUUUUCAGGUAUAGAAUUUCAGCUGCCGGCAAUCUCCCUCUUCAUGUAAAUCUUGCAAAUUAAGAGAGAAAAUGCAUUAGAAUUGCAUCGCAAAGGGUUACAAUGAUAAAAAACAUUAUAAAUAACAGUAGGAAUACAUGAUGCAAAAUGGACGUAUCAUCUGCCACUAGCCACGCAACUGCAAGCGUCGUCCUCAACUGCAACUGCAUGUGUUCAACGCGUAUGCAACUACGUGUUGUUUUGUGAGGGUGGGGAGAGAGAGUUGCAUGUCUGUUGCUAGGAACGUAACUGCAAUUGUCGCCCCCGACUGCAAUUAUAUGAUGUUUUGUCAAGGGAUUGGGAAUUACAUGUCUACUAUGGGAAACGCAACUGCAAGUGUCACUCGGACUGCAACGACAUGUCUUCAAAGGUGCAACUAUGGAGUAUAAUGUUUCUUUUGCCUUGUUUUGUUCUGUCUUGUUGCAUGUGCCUUUUUCAUUCUUUUAUCUAUCUUAGUUUUCCCAUUUUUAAAUUGGGCACGACGCACCACACCCGGUAGCCUACGCACAACUAGAGUAGUACGUGCUUUAUUUUAUUUUUACCUAGUUUCUUUUCUCUUUUUAUUUUAAUUUUACAUUGUGCAUCACCCUCGUAUCCCCGUGUGCAACCAUGCUGAACACACGACUAAAGUUGCACAGUCCUGUUUUUUCAUUUUUCAUAAAUAUUGUCUCCGUAUCUAAAUUGUGUGCCUUGCUAUUUUAAUAUUUUCAUAUGUUAAUUUAUCCACUUGUUAAUGUUCCUUUUUUUGCACUUUUAAUAUUUUCAUAUCGUUGAAAAUAAUUUAUGUUUACUUAAAUGGGCGUAUAGUCAUAUAUAAUGAGUCGGCUGGGUUUGAUUUUUUGGUGGGUCUUUGAUUUUUUUAUUCUGGGGAUUUUUUGUGAUGCGUUGUGUUUUUGGCAAAAUAAUUGUACUUUUAGGUGACGGUCUUUCGUUUGGGCAGUAGACACACAAUACAUUGCCGUUUGCAUUUUUGUGGUACAUAUAAGCGUUUGAUUUCGAAGACCUCAUAGAACAACUCAUGUUUUAGAGUAAUUUCCUCGGCAUGUUUAAUUUACACUCCUUUUUUUCAUUAUUAUAUUUUCCUCAGUUUUUUCAUCAAUUGAGCAACCUAUUUCCCUUCUGGUAUAGCUUAAUUGCAACGAUGCACAGAAACAAUUUAGCCUAGCUUUCCCGUCGUUCUGAUGAUUUUUUGCCAGCCGAACGUGACGUGAGAGACGUGCUACAACCUAGUCCAGUUUUCUUUGAAACUGUUAAUCUAGUAGUUUUAAAAAAUAUUAAAUAUGUAUAUUAAAUGAUGGUCAUGUAUUAAAAAAUUAUCAAACUUGUAUUUGAAAUAUGUUAAUCAAGCAUUUGAAAAUGUUAAAAUGUGCAUAGAAAAAUUGACCACAUAUUCAUAAAAAAUCUUCUAUUUGAAAAUUAUUAAUCAAGCAUUCGAAAAAACAUAAAAAUGUAUAUACAAAACAAUGUUGACCAUGUAAUACAAAAAUAUUAACCAAGCACUUGAAAAUGUUAAAUGUGUAUGAAGAAAAUGUUCAGCAUGUACAUAAAAAGUAUACAAUGUGUGAAAAAAGUUGAUCAUGUAUUUGGAAAUUUCUAAAAACGCAUUUAAAUAAUUUAAACAUGUAUUUAACUUUUUCAAUCAAGCAUUUGCAUUUUUUAAAAUGCGUAUAGAGAAAAUGUUGACCAUGUAAUAAAGAAAUCUUAAUCUUGUGUUUUGAAUAAUGUUAAUCAAGCAUUGAAAAUUUCAAAAUGUGUAGAAAUUUUUUGACCAUAUAUUUUGAAAAUGUUUAUUUUCUAUUUAAAAAAUGGUAAUGAAGCAUUUGAAAAUAUUAAAAAAUAUCUAUAGAAUUCUUCUGACAAUGUGUUCAAAAUUAUGGAACAUGUAUCUGUAAAAUGUUAAUCAUGUGUUAGAAAAAUGUUCUUGACAUAUAAAAAUGUAUGAUGAAAACCAAAAGAAACAAAGAAUACCAAAAAACUAUGAAACGAAAAAAGAAACUAAAAAAGCAAAGAAAAAAGAAACGAAAAAGAGAACAAAGAAACAAGUGCAAAAAUAAUGAAGGACAGUGCGAACCUACACAUAAAUACAGAAAAACAAAAAAAAACUGCUGAAAUGCGNNNNNNNNNNNNNNNNNNNNNNNNNNNNNNNNNNNNNNNNNNNNNNNNNNNNNNNNNNNNNNNNNNNNNNNNNNNNNNNNNNNNNNNNNNNNNNNNNNNNNNNNNNNNNNNNNNNNNNNNNNNNNNNNNNNNNNNNNNNNNNNNNNNNNNNNNNNNNNNNNNNNNNNNNNNNNNNNNNNNNNNNNNNNNNNNNNNNNNNNNNNNNNNNNNNNNNNNNNNNNNNNNNNNNNNNNNNNNNNNNNNNNNNNNNNNNNNNNNNNNNNNNNNNNNNNNNNNNNNNNNNNNNNNNNNNNNNNNNNNNNNNNNNNNNNNNNNNNNNNNNNNNNNNNNNNNNNNNNNNNNNNNNNNNNNGAAAUGAAAAAGAAAAUAAAAAACAACAAAUAGAAGAAAAACAGGCGCAAGAAAGAAAAAGAAAAAAGGAAACAAAAAUCCAGAAAAAACCUUAAAAAGAAACAAAAACAGAUGGGAAAAAGAGAAAACCAUGAAAACCGAGAAUGAAAUGAAGGAAAUAGGUUGAAAACAAAUAAAAAAAUGAAGAAAAACCGUUGAUGAAACAAAAGAAUACGGAAGUAAGAAUAGAAAAAUGAAAAAAGAAAAAAUAUCAAAGAAAGCGGUGCCAAUGCGAGUGCCUCGAUCGAGACCAGAUCGAACAGAAAAAAUCCAGACAAAACUGGGUUGUUCCAAUGGCUAAACGUGGGGGAAAGCUUUCAUUCGACAUCAACAUAUAUCUUGUUAUAAGCGUGAUAUAGUCCCCAGCGACAAAAGUCUACAUUAGAGUUUGGGGAUUUGGGCGAGCAAGGCUAGGAAGCUCAAAUGAUUUUGGGCCGAUUUGGGCAUAUUGAUUUUUGUAUUUUGAAUGUUGGUUACUUUUUUUCUAUAAAGUUGGACAAACUUUACGAAGGUUGGCUUUAGACAAAUGUUAUACGCUAAUUAAAAAGUAGCGGAGGGAGUACUUUGUUUAUGACUUAAUUUAUGUACCAAUGACUUAAUUUAUACCGAUGGCCUAAUGAGCACGUUUUGUGUACCAAUGACUUAAUUUAUUCAUUAAUUUUUACAUUCAAAAUUCUCUCUCCGUUCAUAAGUAUUAUAUGUAUUGAAUAUUUAAAUAUAGACUACAUAUGUAGUGAAAUGAGUGAACAAACACACUAAAAAUGAGUUAACUACAGUAGUAGAGAGAUACUUUCAGUUUCCUAGACCAUUCCCGAAUUCUCACAGGAAGACCGGUGCGACAACAGCGUCAAAACUGAAAUAGAAGACCUGAAAAACGAGAGGAGGAAAAAGCUACACAAAUCACAUAAUACUUGGCGCUACUGAAGUCAUUUUCCCUAGCCAACUUCCCUUUGUCAUCUUGCAAACGGCCCAGAGCUUGUCCACAUCUCCACCCUCCCAUCCACAAGAAGGCCCAACCCAAGCUUUCAGGAGCCCCACCUGUCAGUAACCCACCUCAACCCUAGAACCGCCAUUCCUUUACCUCCAUCUUGACCCCACAUGUCAUCCACCCAUCUACGCCCGAAGAUAUAUAUACCCAGCUGGGCCUAAGCCCACCACGCGCCCCCUUCCCCUCUCCAACCUCCCAAAAAUAAAGGAGAAAAAGUAGAGAGAGAGAGAGAAACGCGAAACCCCAAAUCGAUGGCCGCCGCCGCCCUCCUCCGCCGCUCGCCGGCGGCGCGCGCCCUCCUUUCGCCGGCCCUCUCCUCCCGCCUCGUCGCCUCCAAGCCCCACUCCUCGUCCCCCGCGCCACCGCCGCCAUCGUCGAAGCCCGCCAGCACCAAGACCUUCUCGAUCUACCGCUGGGACCCGGACUCCCCGUCGACCAAGCCCCACCUCAAGGACUACAAGGUGGACCUCUCGGACUGCGGCCCCAUGGUGCUCGACGCGCUCCUCAAGAUCAAGAACGAGCAGGACCCGUCCCUCACCUUCCGCCGGAGCUGCCGCGAGGGCAUCUGCGGCAGCUGCGCCAUGAACAUCGACGGCGACAACGGGCUGGCCUGCCUCACCAAGAUCUCCUCGGAGGCGGCCGGGGCCUCCACGAUCUCGCCGCUCCCCCACAUGUUCGUCGUCAAGGACCUCGUCGUCGACAUGACCAACUUCUACAACCAGUACAAGAGCGUGGAGCCGUGGCUCAAGCGCAAGGACCCGCCGGCGGCCGGAGGGAAGGAGAUCUACCAGUCCAAGGCCGACCGCGCCAAGCUCGAUGGCAUGUACGAGUGCAUCCUCUGCGCCUGCUGCUCCACGUCCUGCCCGUCCUACUGGUGGAACCCAGAGGAGUAUCUCGGCCCCGCCGCGCUGCUCCAUGCCAACAGGUAUACCCGCACCUUCCUCAUAGGCACUUGAUACUUGAUAUCGUGAAUUGUGAUGAUAUGCUGAGUAUGUUGCGUCUGUGUGCUAGAUCUACUCGAUUACUGAAUGACAUGUGAUUGUUGGAUUGGUGUGUCAUGCUGUGAAGUGGUUAUGGGAUGAUACUGAGGGUGGUUUUAUCUCGCUUAGGUAGUUAUUAGGCGUGCAACUAAGUGCGUUUUAUCUAGGAGAAUUGUUCGCUUUUCUGAUGUGGCGAUGUAUUACUUGGUCCAUUUUUGCAAUGAUCAUCUGGUACUUCUUUGCUAGCUCCCUGGCAAAGCGGUGUAGAUGAUUGUUUGGUGGAUAGUGUGAAUUGCCCAUUUGGCUGAAGAAUGCCUAUACAGUUUAGGGCCUCAGUGACUGUUUGUAUACUUUUUGGGUUCAUGUAUGCAAUGAUCAUCUGCUACUUUUUUACUAGCUCCCCGGUGAAGCGGUGUAGAUGAGCAUUUGGUGGAAGAAUGGCUGAUACAUUUUAAGGCAUGAGUGACUGUUUGUAUUCUUUUCUAUCUGGUCGUCGGCUGAUUGAUUUGGAAGUUGAUGCCACCUCUGGAAAUAAUCAUGAGUUUGUAGUUUUAGUAAACUGCUUCUUCAUGACAUCAUGAGUCUUUUUCCUUAGUCUGAUUCUUGAUNNNNNNNNNNNNNNNNNNNNNNNNNNNNNNNNNNNNNNNNNNNNNNNNNNNNNNNNNNNNNNNNNNNNNNNNNNNNNNNNNNNNNNNNNNNNNNNNNNNNNNNNNNNNNNNNNNNNNNNNNNNNNNNNNNNNNNNNNNNNNNNNNNNNNNNNNNNNNNNNNNNNNNNNNNNNNNNNNNNNNNNNNNNNNNNNNNNNNNNNNNNNNNNNNNNNNNNNNNNNNNNCACACACCCACCCACCCACCUAGAGUAGCCUGUUUCUUGACGAGGCCUUGAUUUGGAAGUUACUUUUGUUUGUGGUGGCUUCUCUUUUAGUAUAGAGCAUGCCAGUUCCUUACCAGCAAAUUAUGGUUAUGUUCUACCAAAAUUAAAAUGGUAAUUGUCUAAUAUAUUUAAUGCCUUUUGCUGUAAGCUUUAGGAUGUUGUUAAGUCCAUGACACGUUCACCCGUUCAACCUUUUUAGGCUUCCGCUGUGGGGGACGCUAUUGAAACCAAAACCCAGCAAGCUUCCGCUGUGGGGGACGCUAAUGAAACCACAACCCAGCAUGUUCAUGCACGUCCAAGCACGAGGAUACCAUGGGGUCUCAGUCUCAGAGAAGAGAAACUUGCGGGAUCACAAACGUAGAAUUCUUGCAGCAAAAUAUGAGCUGAGAGGAAAGCUUUAUAAGGCUGUCUGUAGGGACCCUGAACUUCCAUCAGAUAUGCGGGAUAAGUUUCGCUAUAAGUUGUCCAAGCUGCCAAGAAAUAGUAACAUGACACGUCUUAGAAACCGCUGUAUUUUCACGGGCCGCUCUCGUGGUGUCUACCAGAAAUUCCGCAUGUCUCGUAUUGUGUUCCGCACCUUGGCAAAUAAGGGUGAACUGAUGGGUGUUAAGAAAGCGUCUUGGUAGAUGUUACCAGAUGGGUAGAACAAAGAACUAGCUCUUCAGUAGUCCAGCAAAAUAAGGUUGCCCUCUUUCAGUGUUUGAUUCCUGAAACUAUCUGUCAAGCUUUGUUUUGCCAGCAAACGGCAUGGUUUUCUCUUUAUUUAGUUGAAGCAGUGUAAUGUACUGUUUUUUUAUGCUAUUCAGCAUUUAUGAAGCUAAAGAUUCUGUUGUUUAAGGUUUCUACGAGCUGGCUGUUUGAUUCAGUAUUUAUCUGAUCUGGCUUUACUUGAUGUGUGCACUGAGAUUUCAUAUCUGAUCCUCUGAUUUAUCAUAUUUGUCACCAUGUGCCUGUCAUAACAUAUAAUCUAAAACAUGAUCUGAUAUAAGGCACAUGAAAAUUUGACUAAUAAUUGCAACUCCCCUUAGUCAGAAGAAACUGGAAACAGAAAACAGAUGUGUUGGGUUUUUAGUUGUUUGUCACUUGUGCAAGCAUCAUCUCAUUUCACAUAUCUGCAAGUGUUUCAAAUGCCUUCAGCCCUGUUCCUUUGGAUUGGGUUGACGACUGUAGUGUUCGAGAGAUAUAAACACAUUCGUCCUUCCAGGUGGAUCCAAGACAGCCGUGAUGAGUUCACAAAGGAGCGCCUCGACUCCAUCAACGACGAGUUCAAGCUGUACCGCUGCCACACCAUCAAGAACUGCACGCAUGCCUGCCCCAAGGGACUGAACCCGGCGAAGCAGAUCGACACAAUAAAGAAGCUGCAGCUCGGAGCCUGAGUGAGGUCUACUACCCCGUGGAGAUGUGGAAAAUUGUAAUCAGCCUGGCAUUUGGUUUGUUUUGGCUCCGUGGUGACAAAUAAUGGGUGGAAACGCAGGAUAUUCCCAGCUUGACGAUUCCGUGUAGUUCGUGAAUAAUUGCUACCAGAUUUUAUUCUUUUCGUGCUGUAUCUAGUUUGGUGGUUCUCCGUUGAUCAUCUUUUGAUGUCCAUGCAUCAAUUAAUUCAUAAACUUUUGAAUUGUUGCCAACGUUUGGAUGUUGCAUAUGUGUUGUCUGCUUCCUUCGUCUCAGGGACAUAAGCACUUUCAGUGUUACCGAGUUUACCUCGUCAACCUGUUUUAGUUCUGCAAAUAAUCAUGGGUCUUCUCCUCCAUCGCUCGGGCUUGUUGCCGACGUAGACGAAGAGGAAAACAGUCGAAUGCACGAAGAUUAACGUCAUUACGUGUACUUUUAACUGAAAUCACCGUAAAUACCUAGCGACGUUUCAAUCCAGAUGAUCUCCGAUCUUGUCUUUUCUCGAGACGAAUACGAUCUUGUCGUUUGGUACCAUAGGGCAUUCUAGAGUACGCUUAUAUUCCUACGGCGAGAUAUCUCAAUUUUCGACUCAUUUCACCACUCUACCCUACUUCCUCUCAUCAAAGUCUCCAUGUAAAUCGUGUGGUCCCCACGUCGUUGCUCCCACAGCCAAUGGCAUUGCAAGUUGCAGGCCGCGAGAUAAGCUUUCAAACCUCGAUCGCACACUCGCUGCACAAGAUAAGCUAGCCACAUCGUUCCUUCUAGAAACGCACUGGAGGGCAUCGCAUUACACACCCUCGCACCUCACACCACUCCUCCAUCCACCUUUUUGCCAGCGUGAGAGCUUCUUCUUUCUUGCGAGGGAGAGAGGGUAGCGAGCAACCAGGGAGCUAGGCGUCAAUGGCGACCAUAGCCACGAUGACCAUGCUCAAGCCCGCCAAGAUCACGGCCAGGUCGGCGCCUUCGUCGCCGUCGUCCAGCGCCAAGGUGGCGUCGCCGAGCAUCUCGCUGCGCAGCCUGCAGAAGAACGCGGCCAAGAAGGGAGCCCUGGCCGUGUCGCCGGCGGCCGCGGCCAUGGCGAGCGCCUUCUUCACCUCGCUGGCCUCGUCGGACGCGGCGAUGGCGUCGCAGCGGAUCGCGGACGUGGCGGCGGCGGCCCCCGCGGACGACAACCGGGGCCUGCUCCUGCUCUUCGUGGUGGCGCCCGCGCUCGGGUGGGUGCUCUACAACAUCCUCCAGCCGGCGCUGAACCAGCUCAACAAGAUGCGGUCCGAGAAGGCGCUCGUCGCCGGGCUCGGCAUCGGCGCCGCCGCGGCCGCCGGCCUGGCCGCCGUGCCGGAGCCGGCCUCCGCUGCCGUGCAGGAGCUGGCCGCGCUGGCGGCGGUCGCGCCGGCCGACGACAACCGGGGCCUGCUGCUGCUCUUCGUGGUGGCGCCCGCCCUCGGCUGGGUGCUCUACAACAUCCUGCAGCCGGCGCUGAACCAGCUCAACAAAAUGCGAUCCAACUGAGCGCGCGUACGUCGUCGUCGUGGCAUCGCAUGCGGUCCGGCCGAGUGGGUUCGUAUGUGUGUGUUCGUCUAUUAAGAGUCGUGGUAGUAGCGUGGAACGUGGUGUGAGUGCCCGCUUGCAUACUCUCUAAUCUUGUUCCUUCCAUUGAUCAAAUGCAGUACAGCUCUUCUUGUUUUCUCUUCUGCUACGUUCAGUGCAAUGUUCUCUUCUGCUACGUUCCAUGCUGGAUUGGGUUUUUAGGGCAACU
rnacentral:lncRNA from 1 species